GGCCUUGUUCUACUUUGGGACAAAAGUGAAAACCUAGCUAUACUCAAUUAUUUAUGUUCUCUGGAGAAUUCAUUGGCAGCAUACUGCAUACGAAUUCCUAGCGACCACAAAAACAGCUUGGGAUAGAUAAAAUCUGUUUAUCUCACACAUACACACACAGAGUUCACGGAAGGAAAACAAAAAUUUAAGAUUGUAAUUCUUUUUUGUCAAACAAAUUACCGUAAUUAAUUAUCGUUUGAUCAAAAAUUCAAUGGUUAAUAUUUUAAAAUGCAUCAAACUUAAAUGGCAACCAUUGAAUUUUGUUCCCAUCGAUAGCUAAGGUAAAUAGUUGUCCACUAAAAUUCAUGGUCCUACUCCUAUAUAUAGUGACCAAGAGAACACCCUUGUUCAUAUACACUCUUUAUUUUGAACAGGCUAUAACAGCUAUCGUCCAAAUAAGGUACCAAAUUGUUCCCCCAUGAGGCUAGGCUGAUAUGAAUGAGUUGUAUUUAUGUUUUCCAUAAAGAUAAUUUGCAAGGGGGAGAGAAAAGCUGGGAAUGUCAAAACUUGGGUGCAGUAAACUAGGAUAAAGAAGCAUAACCCUAUUAUAUUUGAAGUGGAAGUGCAGACAAUUGGUUAUUGCUCUUACUUUACUGUCAAAAGUUGGGUUUCUAAGUUAGAAAAAAAGUGAUGUGCUGAAAUGUCUAUUGCAUUUGACUUUUGGUUCAUGUGAAAUCAUGAAAUAGUGAUCACCAAGCAUUCUCAUUUGUCCCAGUUUCCAUUUUCUUCAGAAGAAAAACCCUUUUUCUGGUAAUGCUGACCAAGUCACUACCAAACAAACGUGUUUCACAUACAUCACAAAAAGAAUGAAAAAUGGACAUCAUACAAAUUGUUUCAACUUUCACACCAACAAAAAUGUUAGCCCAAUUUCCCAAAUCAAUAUCACCACAAUAAUGGCCCAUUUCUACAAAUAACAAGAUUUGUUGGCAAAUUCAUUGGUGGCCCAUCACAAUCUUAGGUAUCCCAGCCCAUCAAUGUUAUUAUUUUUAUUGUUUAUUUUUUUUAAUACAACCAAUAGUCUAAACUAUAUACGAGAGGAAGAUUUCUCACAAACACAUAACUGUGAUGUUAUGGGAGGUCGAACCUUAGACGUUAGAUCAGUAAAUCAAUAUUCUUUUUCAUUAGACUAAAACUCCUUUAGCAAUGUUUAUUGUUUAUUAAAAUAAUAGUUAAACUUUUUUUUCCCUUACAAAGUUUCUAGUAUAGAAGAGGGAAAGAAAAAUCUUUGAUCUAGAACAUGUGGUAAUGCGGCGCCCUUUUGGCUAUGCGCCUUAUCCACUAGCGGCUGUGGUCGUUACAAAACCAAAUUUCAACUACCCCAAAACCAGAGAAAGUAGACGCUAACAGUAUCAUCUCCAAGAGAAUAAUCUCACACCAUGGCUUCCUCUACUCUAUCUCCUGCUACCACUUCACAGGUACUCAAACUAAACCAACUUGAAUUUCCUGAUGUGGGUUUGGAGGGUUGAGCUAUAAUAAUUAUGUCAUAAAUGUGUUUGAAUUUUCUUUUUCAGCUAUGCUCAAGCAAGAGUGCAAUGUUCUCAUCAGCACAAGCCCUUGCUGUGAAACCCAGGAGGACCCAGAUGGUAGGAAAGGGAAAGGGAAUGAGAGUCACGUGCCAGGCAUCAAGUAUUGCGGCUGAUCGCGUGCCAGACAUGGGCAAGAGGAAGCUUAUGAACCUGCUUCUUCUGGGUGCAAUCUCUCUUCCCAGUGGCAUCAUGUUGGUUCCUUAUGCCACUUUCUUUGUCCCACCUGGGUGAGUACACCUACCCUUUUCCUAAUUUCCAGUUUUUGACCUUUUUCUUUCAUCUUCAUGUAUGUAUUUUGUUGAUUGGUGAUUGAUUUUGUGUUUAUAAUUGGGUAGUUCAUUAAAAUUGGAUUACUAUAUAAUAUAUCAUGUAAAUAUUGAACUCAUUAACCCAAUGUAGCUUAGGGAAAAAUAUUCACUUGAAAAAUUCAAUCAAUUUUUACCUUGAUUUACUUUGCAUAAGCUGUUAGUCUCUUUGCUUGGCCCAUUGAUGUAAAGUUAGCUCUGCAUAACCUCAAUCAGAACAAUCAAGAAAUCGGAUUGUUUUGAUUGUUCUGAAAGUGUAAUGAAAAUGAAAUAUUUAAAUAGAAAAAAGUUAAUUUAAGGUAGUGAAUGGUCUAUCUCAAAUAUUUACUACUAAAGACUAGAGUCCAACAAGGUCUCUUGAUACCAUGAUAGAAAAGUUUAUUACUUUACUGCUAUUUCUACUAGCAAAAUCCUUUUUUCUUGGCUUGAAAUUGUGUAUCGUUUGCUCAUUGACAUGGUUAUUUUGAUUGAUUGGAGAACAAUUAUAGCUCCGGGAGUGGCGCUGGUGGUCAAGUUGCCAAGGAUGCUCUUGGAAAUGACGUGAUUGCAUCUGAAUGGCUUAAGACUCAUGGCCCUGGUGACAGGACUCUCACACAAGGAUUGAAGGUAUUGAUACAUCUUAUUAAUGAACUACAAACAUGUUCCGUCUGGUUUCAUCUCCCCAUUUCAAUUUAUAGGAAAAGUUCAAGCCUGAUUUGCAAUACCAGCAGCAGCAUUAUGGGCUUAUGAUAUAUUUCCAUGUUGUGCUAAAACAUUCCCAAAAUCAGAUUAAGAACUUGGGGAAGUAUGCAUACUUUGACAAGGUAAACUAAUUUUGAUUCUUUGUUUAUUAUCAGGGUGAUCCUACAUACCUUGUUGUGGAGAAAGACCGAAGUCUUGCCACAUAUGGAAUCAACGCUGUCUGCACUCACCUUGGUUGUGUGGUGCCAUUUAACACGGCGGAGAACAAAUUCAUAUGCCCCUGCCAUGGAUCCCAGUACAAUGAACAAGGAAAGGUUGUCAGAGGACCUGCACCCUUGGUGAGUUAAUUUAGACUUCUAUCAACUCUUGCCAAUUUCUUUUUCUUUAUGGUUUAUCGAUACCGGUUUCUCGCUUCUACAAUCUGCAUUCAUAAACUCUGUCAAAGUGAAGGAUCAUGCAACAAUUUUCUCUCCCAACUUUUCCCAUAAUUGUUAGGCCAUCAAAUGCUGCAUAAUACAUAUUGGUUAGUCUGUUUCUUCAUCUCAUUCUAUCUGUAAUAACCAACGUUUCAAUUUGACUUGCUGGAACAGUCUCUGGCGUUGGCUCAUGCUGACAUUGAUGAAGGGAAGGUGGUGUUUGUUCCAUGGGUUGAAACAGAUUUCAGAACCGGUGACGCUCCAUGGUGGUCUUAAACAUCACAAAGCAACCCUCCCGAAUUAUAUCAUGUAAUUUGAAAUGUUUCGCUACUGCAUUUUGCUUCCUUCAUAAACAACUUGUAUCAUAAGGUUCAUCUUUGUUAAAAUUUGAAGCAUAUAAUAUGCAAGGAGGACCUAAUUUUUUGGAAUCUGCCAUCUUCUCAUCUUAUGUAUAAACUAGUGGCUUUUGCAAAAAUACGUUCGAUUUCACCCUUGUAUACUGGUAAUUUGUUGAAAAAUUAUAGAAUAAUACGGAUAUACAAAGCAUGUUAUAAGUUUAAAGAAAAAACAUAAAAAUAGACACAAAUCCUACAAAUAGUUUGCCAACAAGAGAGUAUUAUUACAUCGUGCAACUUUUUCCACAUUUGUAAAAAAAUUAGCAUAAUUAUUAUUUUUGAAGCAUAAAAUAAAUUUUAAUUUUAAUUUUUUAAAAAAAACUUUUCAUAAAUACGAAAGCGUGUGCAAAGAGGCUAGUGCCAAUUAAAUGAAGUGACAUAACCAACGUGAAAUUUAUGUCCCCAUACAUCACAGAGCCACAGCUUGGAUUGUAUUUGUAUACUACUUUAUUUUGGCCUACGUUCACUGAUCCAUAUCAUACGCCCUUGACCUUGAGAACUGCAUCAGCUCCAUCCUUAAUCAACUGCCACGCGGCAACAACGUGCCUCUCCUCCGUAAGCGUGGCCCCCACCGCAAACCUCAACAUGUAUACCCCACCGACUACAGUGUGGCUCAAAUAAGCAUGACCCGUUGAGUUCACCCACUCGAGUAGCUUCCGGUUCAGCGAGUCAACAUAACUCGGCUCGGCCCUAGAAAAUGACUUGAGCCGAAAACAAACCAACGCAAACUUUCUGGGCACCACAACCUCGAACCUUAGGUCCGAGUUUACGAACCCUUCGAACAUUCGAGCCAUCCGAACAUCGGACCGGAUGUGGCUCUGGAUAUUAGCGACGCCAUAGCUACGGAGCACGAGCCAUAAUCUAAGUGACUUGAACCUACGUCCAGUGCCCAGUUGCCAGUCCUUGUAGUCCACCACUGAGUCAGACUCACUGGGUUGGUUUCUCAAAUACUCCGGGUUGGUGCUCAAUGCGUUGACCAACAAAUCCGACCGCUUGACCCAGAGGCAGCAGCAGUCCAAGUAACUCAGCAGCCACUUGUGCGGGCUCAGACUCAGUGACUCGACUCGCUCCACCCCGUUCAAGUAAUGCCUAAACUCGGGACAAAUACAGGCACUUCCACCGUAAGCAGCGUCCACAUGGACCCACAUGUUGUAAUCGUUUGCCACGUCGGCAAGCGGCUCGAGGGGAUCGACGGCCGUGGUUGAAGUUGUCCCCACGGUUAAACAAAGGUAAAGCGGGACCAGCCCGGAUUCCACGUCUGCCUCCACCACCUUACGAAGUAACUCGGGAGACAAAGCGAAAUCGGAGUCACGGCUGGUGGGUAUGGACCUUACAUUGGAAAGACAUAUCCCGGCGAGCCUGGAGGCCUUUGUGAACGUUGAAUGGGUCUGAUCAGAAGAAUAAACGACGAGAUUUUUCACGUCGUUUGUUCCCAAAGCCUCAAGCUUCCGGUCUCGGGCUGCAACGAGAGUUACAAAGAUGGCUUCGCUGGUGGUGUUUUGAAUGACACCACCACCGCCACCUCCAGCAGUGCCCGAUGAAAACAUGAAGGACGUGGGAAGCUUGAGCAUGUGGGCCAGCCAGUCCAUGACGACCAUCUCGAGCUCGGUGGCGGCGGGGGAGGCGAGCCAGUUGAACCCGACGGCGUUGAAGCAAGUGCACAGCAUUUCGCCUAAGAAGGCGGCGGUGCUGACGGUGGCGGGGAAGAAUGCGAAGAAGUUAGGGCUGAGCCAGUGAGUGAUGCCUGGGAUCACGUGGGCGGAGAUGUCAUGGAAGAUGGUUUGCAGGGGUUCGGGGAGGUAGGGGGCGGUGGAGGGAAGGCGGGAGCGGAGGUAGUUGGGCUGGACUUGGGUGAGGACAGGGUAGGAUUCGAUCUUGGCGUAGUAGUCGGCAAUGAAGUCGACCAUUUGGUGAGCUUGUUUGCGGAAGUCUUCGGGGUCUAAAGGUUUGAAGACGUCGGUUUGGGACAGGGAAGAAUCUGUGAAGUUCAAGUCUAAGCUUCCCAUUUUGAUCAAAAUGUCAAAAUGUUUCUGUGAAGAAGAAGAAGAUAGAUAAAGCUAGGAGGAGGAGGACGAGGACGAGGUUUGAGUAUAUAACAUGCAUGAGUGAGCAAGGGUUGAGGGUAAGGGGGUUAUUUAUAAGAGAAAUUUUGGCGGUUUGGAGUUUUGAUGUAAGAGAGGGAAAUAUUACGUAUGAAUAUAUGUUUUUGGGGUAAUUAUAAUUUUAAUCACUCAGGUUAGGAUCGAAUUUAAUUUUGGUCACUGCACUUUCAAAUUUCCGAUUUUGAUCAUUGUAUUUGCAACUGUUAACAAAUCAUGUCAAAUGUUUCAAUUUCGUUAGUUUCAUUAAUUUAAAAAUAUUUUUUUAAAUAUCAAAUUUAAUUAUUAGAGAAAGAGGAGGAUUUAGAAAUUGAAAAUUUUCUAACAAUUAAAUUUGAUUUAUUUUUAAUUUAAUUAAAUAUAUAUAUAUAUAUAUAUAUAUUGAACGCCCACUUUGUUCUUCUCAUUAAAUCUUUAUUAAAUCGAAGAGUUAGAGCUCGUGUCGGAUUGACAUUUGCAAUUGACUUAGUUAAAAGUCUGUCCACUUUUUUCUUUUUGGUGCAUCACUGCCACAUUAGUCGUAUUGGUUGCAUGCAUGAAAUAAACAAGGAGGUGGAUGACUUGAGUGAGCGGCUGAAGUCAGAAAAUAUAUGUAUAAAAAUUGAAGUUUAUCUUCAAAAUGAGAUGAAUGGAGAAUACGAAAUUCAUAGAAACAACAAAAAGGUUUAAAGAAUAGAGUUGGUAGCUAGGUAGCUCAUCAUAUUGGAUAUGGGGGUGAGUUGGGUCGAUGGACAUUAUUGCAAGCAACCGAGUGUAAUUAUGUAGGAGGCAACUGUAGUCCCUAUGUAUUUGGAACCAUUUGUACAUCAGCUAUCUUCAAAAACAUACCUAAAACUUUACAUCCUAAGUACAUUUAAAAAGACAAGUACUUUGGAUGUAAAGUUUGGGGCUUAGAGCAUAGAAAGUGGACAAGAGAAUACUUGGGUUGCUGACUAUAAUCUAUAAGUAGUGGUUCUAUAACCUCAAAUUGAUUCAAUGAAGCCAUUAAACAACACCACCUCAAUAAGAAACUACACAGAAAAUUAAAGAUAAACUAAAUAACGGGUAUAUAUAUAUAGGGACAAAUUUAGAAUUUCAAAAUGGAGUGGGCUAGUUUACCUUACUGGACUGUUAGAAUUUAGGCUUACCUAAACCCUUAUAAGGAGGCUGAUGUAAUUGGUCAUAAAUAUAUAAUUUAAUUUUAGAACAUAUCAUUUUUAUUUUAUUUAUUUAAAGAUGCCUAUUUGACCCCAAUAAAGCCAGCAACAAUUGAUUAUAUAUGCUUAGCAUUAACACUAACUAUAAGAAAAGAAUAAAACUCAUAUGGGCUAUAGCCCAGGUUGUACAUGCUGUAGGUCUAUGCCUGCAUAUAUAGUUUAAUGGUAAGAGCAUCUGUUUGCACAUCAGUCGUCUUAAGUUCAAACCUCAAUGGCACCUCCUCCUCCUCCCCCCUUCUAAACUAGGUUCGAAAACUCAACCUCAAGUUUGUUGUAGUCCACGGAUUCUUGUUUGUCUAUCUAAGUCGUUUGACUAUUUUGCCAUAUAAAAUUAUACUCAUAUUUAUGUAUUUGUUUAAUUGUUUAUUUUUAUUUGCCCUAUCAUUUAAAACGGGUAAGAUAUUGCCAUUAAUUAUCAUAUUUAAUUCCAGAUUUCUUCAAUUGUAUUCAUUGACUUCGUUAAUUGGUUGGUAUUAAGGGCUUAAUUUGAUAAUUUGGCUGAUGUCUUCUCCUCCUUUUUUUUUUUUCCAUCUUCUUUUUAAUUUCUUUCUUUUCUUCAUCUUCUUUUAUUAAUUUCUCAUAGAAAUCCUCAGCCAAAUGCAUAUACUUCUCUUUUUAAUAUUGAAACAGCUCUGAAAUUCAAAUUCUCCUUUCAGCAAUAACAAAAAUAUAUAUGUGAUGAAGCAGAGGCUCGAAUGAGUUAUGUUACAACAAAUGACAUGUUAUGUUACAUCAUAAAAUGACAUAAUAAUAAUAAUAAUAAUAAUAAUCUAUAUAUAUCUAUAUAUAUAAAGCAAAAGGCAGAGAAUGGUGAAACAUUCAAAAUACCAGAAAAUGCCCUUGGUUAAUGCAAAUAUUAAGAAUUGAAAUUAUUAAUUAAAUGAGGAUAAUAUGGUAAAUUCACAAUUUUUCAUAUUUAAAAAAAUUAAAAGAAAAAGAAAAGGCAGAUAAUGGAUCCUAUUUUUAUGGAACACAACUAUCCAUUAUCUUUUUUAAUUCUAAAAUAAAUUUACUUAUUUUUUUUAAAAAACCUCUCGCAAGUGCGGAAGCGCGUACAGAGAAGCUAGUAAUAAUAAUAAUAAUGUUUUCCUAAAAAAAUGUUAUUAAAAUUAGAGCACCAAUGUGAAAGUGAUGAGUAAUAGGCGCCGUGACGGCAGAGUCAACGCCUCCAAAUGUGAAUACAGAAAACGUCCUCUUUUAGAGUUUCACUCCUCCUUGUCUUUUUCAUGCAAAGAAAACCCAACAACUGUCUCCUCCUCGUUAACGUCCUCCUCAAACUCAAAACACUUCCGAAUUAAUCAUUUUCAUUUCAAUACCAAAUCUUCUCUUCUCUUCUCCCUUUAUUUUCUUUUCUUUUCUUUUCUUUUCCUUUCCGUUCCGAAACAAAAAAAAGGGGGGAGAAUUGGUUUGGAUUAGAAUUUGAUGAAUGUUUAGAAGCCGGAGGCCGCAGAAGAAGAAUGAGAUAGGGCAGAAAAAUCUCCCUUGCCCCCAACAGACGUCAUCACUGCCACUCUGGAUUUUCACAGCAGACGCCUAAAAGUUUUCACCUUUUUUAGGGUAGUAUUUUGUUGAAAAGGGUGUUCUGUUCCCAUUGGUGUAAAAUACCAUAUAAAAGAGGGAGCAGAAGAUUCAGAUUCUGGGAAAAGAUUCAGAAGAAUCAAAGAGUCUCUUUUCUCAGUCCAACAUACAUAUCCAUCCCACCCACCUUCUUCAAAGAGUAAGUUUGCAUUUCUCCCUUGUGGAUAAAGAUUUGAUUUUGCGUGUUUAUCUGCUCUGUUUCUACCCCUGUUUCUCUCUCUCUCUCUCUCUCUCUCUCUCUCAUGUGACAUAGAGAGAGUGGUGAAUAAAAGUCAAAGGUGCUUGCUUGGUUGCAUUCAUAAAUCUAUAAUGGGCUGGUUUAGAUUAAUGUUUUUGUUGCUUCUUGCAUAAUAAAAAUGAAAUCUUUGGAGUUGGUUGGGGAGGACUUCUCAUAUUUGUUCUUAUUUGUAAUGAGACUUUAGGGGAAGAAGAGGCUAGAAUUCAAAUUUUACGUCUGCAUUGUAGAUAAGGGUUGGACCAAUGCUCACUUAAAUGUGUAAAGCAUUCACUGGUUGAACCUAGUACACAAUGUUCUGGUUGCUGUGCAAGCAAGAAUUUGAAGGGAGAUGAAUGUAGACUUUAAACAUAAUCAUUGAAGAUAGGUUGACUAUAAUUUAUUGCAUUUAGCGGCAGAUUCACACUAAGAUUUGAUGUUAGUGGCUUAUUUUAUGUAGUCAAUAAACCAAAUGAUUUGCCAUAACAUCAUAACUUGUAGGGGAGCUGGUUGAACAGAGGCAAUCAUGGGAAGCCCUGAUGUAAAUAGACCCCCACCAAAGCUUGAGGUUUGUAGUGCUUCUUUUGUUUCCUUUAAACUAGAAUGAACUUGCAAUUAGAGCAAAUCUGUUUGUUGUUCUGAUAUGCAUUGGUUCUCAAUUAUAGGGGAAGUAUGCUGCAAUGGUGGUGUGCUGGCUUCUGGGAAAUGGAUGCCUCUUUUCAUGGAACAGUAUGCUUACAAUAGAAGAUUACUAUGUUGACUUGUUCCCGGUAACUGUCCUAUCCGACAUGAUUUCGAUUCAGAAACUACAAUAUCUAGUUUCUACAUUGUACCUAUCUCUCAGAUUUUCUUUGAGUUAUGUGCAAGUAGACAAUAUGUUUUGACAGUUGUAGCAUUUGGAAUUGGAUUGCCUCAUCAGUUGAAGUUUAAUUUUCUUUUUUCCCCUGAUGCAGCGAUACCAUCCCGCAAGGGUCCUCACUCUGGUGUACCAGCCAUUUGCGCUAGGAACAAUUAUAAUCUUGUCGUAUCAUGAGGCGAAGAUGAAUACUAGGAAAAGAAACCUAUUUGGAUAUGUCCUAUUUUUCAUAACUUCUCUAUUGGUGCUAGUUGUAAGUGCAAUUUAAAUCUUCAAAUAACAUCACCAAAUGCUGCGAUUGAGAAACAUAUGAUUAAGCCUCUAAAUGUGCUUCAUUCUGCCAUAGUUGGAUUUAGCUACAUCUGGGAGAGGAGGCCUUGGAACUUUUAUUGGAAUUUGUGCCAUUAGUGCUGCCUUUGGAAUUGCAGAUGCUCAUGUGCAAGGAGGAAUGGUUGGAGACCUCUCUUUCAUGUCAGGAGAACUCAUCCAAGUCAGUAUUUGUUUUGCAUAACAAUUACAUGCUCUAUGUUUCAUUUUCGUUUUCCUUCAAGUUGUCGAAAUUUGUGGAUCUGAUUAUAAAUUUGUGAGUUUUCUUGUUUCAAACUGUUCAGUCUUUCCUUGCUGGUUUGGCUGCAUCAGGAGCCCUAACCUCUGCUUUGAGGUUAAUUACAAAGGCAGCAUUUGAGAAUUCCCAUAAUGGUCUUCGGAAAGGAGCUAGUAGGUUCCAGUUUUCAAGUUCUCAUAUUUGUUGUUGAACAUGUUACUGUUUUCUUUAGGACCAUCAUAAACUUAAAUCUUCUGAUAUUUUGUAUCUGUGCAUGGUCUUGCCUACCAUAUAUAUAUGUGCAUGUUCAACUUACAUUAAAGCACUGGCUUUUUUUUUUACACUGCAGUUUUGUUCUUUGCAAUCUCUUCGAUCUUUGAGCUUCUCUGCGUGAUUCUUUAUGCUUUUGCCUUUCCGAAGCUACCAAUUGUUAAGUACUAUCGCUCAAAGGCCGCUUCAGAAGGAUCAAAAACUGUUUCUGCUGACCUUGCUGCUGGUGGCAUCCAAACAUUGCCUGAAGCAGUAUGUCAUUCGCUCCAACAUAUGCUCAAAUAAUGCCCCAACGCAUUCAUCUUCUAAUGUUCUAAGAAAAAACAAUGUAAAUUCAUGCAGGAUGAGGAAGAGCAGAGAGAUCUAGAGCGGCUGGGGAACAAACAAUUGCUGCUUCAAAACAUUGAUUAUGCACUCGAUAUGUUUCUAAUCUAUGCCCUCACUUUGUCAAUUUUCCCUGGAUUCUUAUCCGAAGACACCGGAUCACACAGCUUGGGUACAUGGUAUGUACUUAAACAUAACGUUACUUGGUGUCAACAAGAAUUUUGUUCUAAAAUCUGGAAUUAUACAUGUCAGGUAUGCACUGGUUUUGAUUGCAAUGUACAAUGUGUCUGAUCUGAUUGGGAGAUACAUUCCGCUGGUGAAAUUCCUCAAGUUGGAAAAUCGUAGAGGGCUCAUGGUUGUGAUUCUUUCUCGUUUCUUGCUCGUCCCGGCAUUCUAUUUCACUGCCAAGUAUGGUGACCAAGGCUGGAUGAUAAUGCUCACAUCCUUCUUGGGUUUAUCUAAUGGUUACCUCACUGUCUGUGUGCUUACUUCAGCACCCAAAGGUUACAAGGUUUGUACAUUGCAUUUUAUACGCGAAAAGUUUAACAGUUUGUUUAGUUAAAGAAGUAAGAUUGAUCAGAAUUUUUGGGUUUUGCAGGGGCCAGAGCAAAAUGCUUUAGGAAACUUGCUGGUUGUGUUCCUACUGGUAGGUAUAUUUGCAGGUGUAACACUUGAUUGGUUGUGGCUUAUAGGCAAGGGCUGGUAAAAAUUUGAUUUAACUGACUUGAAGGUUGUUCCAAUUUGCCACAGUAAGACUGGAUUCUGUUUUUUUGUGAUUCAUUAUUAAAUGGUAGAAGUAAAUAUUUGGUUUUUCAGUUUUUUAUUUUAUUUUAUUUCACAAGAACAUUUAGGAAGCAUUGGAACUAAUUCUUUGCUUCUGCAUUGUAUUUUUUGGGGGAAAACAUUUUCUAUCCCACAAAACAAAUGCAGCCAAAAGGGCCAUUCAAAUUUGUACUCCAAACCGUGCCAUUAGAUACAAGCGUAGAGGCUGAGAAAUUGGACAUGCUGAAGUCAAAAUUAUUUUGCCCAAAUGUUAUGGAGUUAUACAGGCCGAUGGACCACACCCCAAAAAAAAAAAAAAACCUCGUUCAAAAGAGGAGUGUCAAAAUCGCUACCAACAAAAAAUUGAUGUCCACAAAAUAAAACAUUUAUCCAAGCCGGGCUACGUGACAACAAUAAUUCAUCCGCAAUUCGCUCCCUAGAAGAUGUAAAACUACCUAAUUAAAACUGUAUUUAAUUAAUGUAAUCUUCACAUAACAAUGUGUUUGGGUUUUAUAAUCCAAAAUUCUAAGCAUCCCGUGUCCCAGUUUUGCAUUUCUAUGCGACCAACAUACUCAGUCAUGGGGAGUUGCUAAUGCUAUUUUCUAUCUGUGUGUAGCUUUCUAAACACCCCCAACACAAAUGGUCAUUAAUGAGCUUUGGGUACCACUACCGCAUUUCUUUAAUUCUCUAGCCCCUCCUUGCUUCUUAAUUCCAAAUCAUUUACAAUUAAUGCACUCCCACAAAUUUUCAGCACCAUAAAUAAAUAAUCAGAUAGAGAAUGUCUCAAACCUCAAAUUGCCUUUACUAUUCUUACCCAUUGACCCAGUCUUUCAUGCAACAAUCCUAACUUACAAGCCAGUCACUUGAGGACCAACUCAUUAUAGUACCAAGCAGGCAACUCAUUAUAGUACCAAGAGGGCAGUGUUCCCAUUUUUUGGAUUCAGUUGGUUAAGACAGUGUGUCCGUCUAUUACACCCUGCUAGGCCGAUCUUUUUUCAGUAAAUUAGAGUAAUUUAGAAUAUUACUGGGUAAAAAUGAAAAUGUAAAGAAAUUUGAAUUAGUAAAAGUAAGACCUUCCCUGCUGUACUUACUACGAGCUGAAAUUUACAGUGGGCAAAAUGACAAAAACACCCAACAGCCCCGUUUGUCUACUUGCAUCACGUGAACCGACACGACAGGGAUUACCAAAAAAAUUGGGAAAAACCCAGACUUGAAUCUUGAUCCCCUCUCUCUCACCCUAAACAAACAGAGACACCAAAAUGAUCAGGGGCAGAAUCGGAAACAAUAAAAUAGACGGUGACGAUGCGGGCGCUUGCCCCUUAUCGAACUGCAGUGAAUCUACGGCCAGCGGCAUGUUCUCCUGGUCCGGGCUACACGUGGACUCGUGCGGUGGGUGCGCACUGUACAUUAUGGCCCGCAGCACCGCCGAAACAGUGGGUAUGUACGCCGUUUUGUUCCGGGCCAGCAGCCACGUCAGCCCCAUGAGCUGGCAGUCCCUGUUGAACAUCUUGCUCGCUCUGUCGCUCGUGGACUUGUCCCCCGCCGUUCCGUUCUUGCUCCCACCCUUGAGCUGCAAUCAGUAAUUACCAGUCAAGUAAGACGGCAUUCUGGUCAAACAAAACAAAAUAUGUUAUAGAAUUGUGGAAAGAAGAAACUGACCUUCUGGAGAGCGCCGAGGCACUUGGUGCAGCCAGAAUACGAAGAGUUGCGGCAGUUCUUCUCCAAGUUCUUGACGGCGGCGGUGGGCGUGGCGUUGUGAAACCCUAGCGACAGGUUAAAAGCGGCGGGGCAGCUGAGAGAGCCGAUCUGGUGGAGCCGGAUGCCGCAGAAGCACAAAACGGCGUCGCAGCUGGCGUUCGGCUGAGGAAUCCGGAUGUUUCGGCCCACAAGCGAGGACUGCAAGGAGUUGACGCACUUCUGCGAGUCGUCCGGCAUCAUCGGCUGGUCGAGGCCGGCGGAAGGAGCCGGAGCCGAUGAGGGGAGCUCGAGAGCUGACCUGGCAUGGGCAGCGAACAGCCAGGCGGCUAGGACAGGGCAGCAUCGGCUGCGGUCGAGGUCUCGGCCGCAUGCUUGGCUGACGCCGCCGAAGAGCUCAUCGGAGAGGUCGAGGUGGCAGGUUUGGGUUGGGGUUUGGGACGGGAGGGCCGGGACAGUGUUGGGGCUGGAGUACUCACCCGGUUUGAGUGGCUGGGGGUGACCGGUUAUCGGUUGAGCAAGUAAACCGGCGAGGGUAAUGUUAAAGCUGGAUAUUAACAAGAGAAGGAAGAAGGUGAAAAUGGUGGAGGUUGGAAAUGAUGGCAUUUUGGGGUGAAGUUGUGUUUGUUUCUGAGGAAAAUGAUGAUGAGCAGGACGAAAGUGAGGGAAAGAUAAGGACUUUGAUAUCUGAUUUUGUUUUUGUUUGAGAAAGGAGAGAGCUUUAUGCUUCUUUUUGAAAUUAUGAAAUAGUAAAGGUGAAAAAGGAGGAGAUUCUGAAAUAUUCAAAGGACAGCCAUUGUGUUUUUGCUUUUCAGGGCUGCAAGGCUGCUGCUGGCACCCACUGUCUCCUCCUCACGACCUAAACAGAGCAAAAGCCAAAACAACUGAGCAGAGAUGGGACUGAGAGAACUGUGAGAUAAAUGGUAGAAACCCACCCAGAAAGAAAGAUCGGUUUUUUCUCUGUUCUUCUUUUCUUUGUGGUUGUCUCCGUUUUCUUUCUCUAGAAAUGGUGGAUAUGAUUUGAUGGGUUUAUAAUCCAGAUGAAAAAGGAAGGAGGAACCGUGAGCUGACUGAGAGAGAGAGAGAGAGAGAGAGAGAGAGAGAGAUCUCUCGAUUUAAGCAGAGACGCUCUCUCUACUGUGUAUAGUUCACUCACGAAGUACAGUGGGCAUUCAUCAAUUGUGUAUUAUACUAUAUAGUAUAUGAACUAUAUGGAAAAGGAUUCUACUUUUGGAUUCAAUUAUUUAAAAAGGAAAAGGGCAAUUGGGUUGGGUUGUGGGGUCCAGGAGAAAUAGAAGAUAUUCGUUUGGUAGAGGCUAGACUGAGAAAGAAGGGGUGGUAUAAUACUGGAUUUUUUGCAUGAUAAGAAAAAAGGCUGUCUGAAGAUUUGGCAGCUUGUGGUGUCAUUUUCCUUUUCAUUCUCUAUCCUCCUCACACUCUGAUAUGAUAUGAAAUGAAGGUGCUCUCUCUCCUCUCUCUUUCUUUUUAUUUUUUCAAGUUUGAGUGAUUGCUGAGCACCAUGAACUUGCCAUAGCCUUUUUCCUACUUUUGCUACAGAAGAGGCCAGAGGGUCAUUGAGCCAUUGAUGUCCCAUUUUGUGCUAAUGACAUCUUAAUAAUCUAAUAAUGAUAUAAAGUAUAAACCAAGCAAGCAAUAGCCAUGUUAUUAAUCAUAUUAAUAUUCAUAUAUAAUAAAUAAAUAAAAAGGCCAAAAGGGUAUAAUUAUUAAUGAGAAAUUAGCAUGGCCAACAAGAACAAGGUGAAUAACAGACAGAAAAGAUACUAGAUUUGAAUCAUUACAUUCGUGUAAUAUGUGUGAAUUUAAUAUGUUACCGCUUCAAAGUUCUUUAAAAAUGAAAAAGGGGUAAAGAUUAAAAAGAGAAAGCAAAAGAGGGAGGGGAGAGUUUUUGUGUAUUGAAACUUGUGCAUGAAAAAGGAAACAAAUGUGGAAUGGGAGGGCAUCCUAGGGAAUUGACCGUUUCUGUGUUGAACCCUUUCAAGCAAGCACCAUAUGCGUGACCUUGAGCGUGUGUGGUUGCUAGGUAAUAGCUCCUCCCUCAGACAAAAGUCAUCGUGUGCCUGCGUGACAGCCAAAGCAUCCAACUUUUCCACAAAUUAUUUUUCAAAAAGAUAACAUAAAGUAAUACAAAACUGGUCAGUCAGAGAGAGAGAGAGAGAGAGAGAGAAAGAGAAGACAUUACAUUGCAGUUCACAUGGAACGAAAUGGAAUGGCCACACUCCAAAGUUCCAAAGACUGUUUGUUUUACCUACCCUUUUUUAUAUGCAGAAAAAAGAAAAAUUGUAAAAUGUCCAAAAUGGUGUCCAUUAUCUUUGCUUAUUGAUAUUCCAUAUCUACAGAGGAAAAAUUAGCAGAAAAAACCCAAGUAGUAGGUUCCAAAUCACAGAAAAGAUAAGAGAGGGAGAGAGAGUGGAAUAUAUAUAUACAAGGGAGAGCAACAGUCCAAGGGAGAAAUGAAUGAAUGAAAGGAGAUGCAUGUUGUGUUUAAAGACAAGACAAACAUAAAGCGCCAAUCAAGCAAAAAUUAUUCCAACCAAAAGUUCCUUUGGGAAAAGCUCAACACUCUCUCUCGUUUGCCCCACUGGUUUUCUUUUCUUUACCUUCAUUUUAAAGCUUUUUCUCUCGCUUGGGCUCUCUUGGGUUGGGUCCCCCCCUCCGUGUUUUAAAAUUGUUAGAGAUCACUAGGCUUUUGGUGUGUUUUAGUGCAAGCCCCAUUCGUCCUUAAAAAAAGCUAAUGGACUCGGCUUUUCUUUACCAUUUUGAAUCAGAGAUUAUUUUAUCAAAGAAGAUUAGGUCAAAAGGAAAAGCAAUAGAUAGAUGAUCCUCCUCGCAAAGUUUUUGGUAAUUGAGCGUAGAAAGUAGGAGAGGAAAAGCCUAAAAGGUUCAAUGAUGGUGUUGUUGCAAAUGCAGGCUAUUAGUAUAUACACUCUCCUAGUACGUACGGUUGUCGGGUAUUGGCAUGCCCUGUACGAAAAGAAAAGACAUGGUGUGGUGUCUUCGGCCAUUGUCGAUUGCAAGGGUGAGGAUGUGAGUGUUGAAUAAUUUGUAUCUGUGCACAAUAACUAUUCACUUGUACAUGGUUUGAGAUAUCAUGGUGACAAUCUGAAUUGUGCGUUCAAUAUGAAUUUAUCUUAUAUGCUAUAUCUCAAAUUGGUUUGAGUAAAUUGUACUAAAAAUAUAAAUUGAGAGCAAACAUAGUCUGAUUCGAUUAGCUUUAGGUAUCAAACUGCAUACUUAACUAUUGCAACAUUAUGAUUAUGUUUAACCUUCAAACUAGUAGUAUAAUCGAACCAGAUCAAUUUAGUUAAUAACCAGUUUGGUUCAGUCAUUUCCUCUCAUACAUAAUUAUGCAAAUGUUUUUUUCUUUUUCCUGUCGAAAGAUGAACUUCAUUCCAAGACCUCACCCCAAAACGGAGAGGGCACUUAAACAACAAACAAAGCAACCCAAUAAGGAAACCCAAAGAAUCUAACUAAUCUCUAAUAUCAGAUGAACAAGAAUAAACAGACUGUCCAAGAUAAUGAUAUCAUCAAGUUAACAAAAAUAAAAAUGACAAAACUAACUGGAUUAAGAACAACAAAACAACCCAAUAAGCAAAACAACGUCAAACUCAACAAAAAACUAAACCAGCACAGAUCUGCCACCAUAAGCCAACAACUCUUAGAGCAGCCCCGACAAGGCAAGGGAAAGAUAAUCAUAAGACUAUAAAGAGGUGGUGCGAGCACCCGAGCUGUAGCGGUGUCGUAGCUCUACACAAAUUUCACAAUGUACGCAAGCUGUAGCAGUGUCGUAGCCCCAAGGCAAGGGUAAUUUUCACUAGAGUUGGUAAAGCGGUGCUGAGGAGAAAAAAGUUAUCUGAAUGGUACCAAGUUAGCUUGAACCUGAUUAUGCAAAUGUUAUAUCAUAUAUAUCAAAGGGAAUUUCAUAUCCUAAAUUGAAGAACAAAUUAAGAGCAUUUCUUAUCCUUGAAGAUGCGUAAAUUUUAAGAAAGGGGAUUAGAUGAGUUAGGGAUUUAAGUUUAUAAUAUUAACGGUGAUCAUCAAUAUCAAAAGUGUAAAAGGCAAACUAAAAGUAAAGUAAUUAGGAUUUAGAUGACAAAGAAAAAUGAGCCGGAUCAAGCCAAACUGAAACACAAGACCUUGUUCAUGAUUUACACGGCUCUCUCUUCCUCUUCUUCCUGAUCAAUAGAGGAAAGGUGGACAUGUGUCGUCGAGUGUCAAAAUUUUAAAACAUUUCCAUUUAUUUUCUAGCCACCAAAUAAAAGUUAUUUUGACCCAAAUGCGCAUUUUCUCUGAAAAAACAAUGAAAACAUGUGAAGAAUAACAAAAAGAAUCGAUCGAUCAAGCCGCCACUAGUCCUUUUUACCUUCUUUUUUUUCAACACUAAACUUCUUGCCUAGACUAGACAUAUAUAUAUUUUUGAAUUUAUAGUGCAAUAAUUAUGUCAUGCUUUGCUUGACUCCUUGAACGAAGAUCAUAUGUCAAAAAUUGAUGGAAAAAAGGAGAUGCUAAAUGUGUCGGGUUGAAUUUGCCCCCACUUUAAGUGGAAGAAAAGGCUCUCACAACUUCAAUAUUCUUUCUUUGUGUGAUUGGAACAAAUUCAAUGCACACUUUCUAUUGUCACAAAGACAAGAAAAAUAAAAGAUGAAUACGAAUGUUUUUCUUUCACGUGUUCCUUCGAACUUAAUUUCAAACUUAAUAAAAGAAAAUAAUAAGUGGAAACUGAUGAGGUUCCAUUCCCACAACCCACUUUUUUUUCUUUUUCGUCAUAAACAAGUUUCAUUAAUAUAGAAAGACAAAGCCAAUUACAUCAAAAUAAAUUUUUAAAAAUGAGUUCAAAGGACAUAAAACCCAUUACAGAUAGAAAGUCCACUAAUUUCCUACACUAUAAUCCUAUCUGUUUUAUUUGGUAGCAAGCAUGGCCACAUAUGCUCCACACAAUAAUUCAAUACCUGCUAAAUAAUGUGGUUGUGGUUGUUUGUUUUUUUGUUUUUUUUUUCUGGUGGGACAAUGAUGAUAUGAAGAGGCAUGUGAAGACAAUAACACACUUUUUGAGUACUUAUGAGCUUUGAAAUCAAAAUUUUAUUUUUUAUUGAACAAGUAAGUGGGUUUGUGGAUAUUGAGCGGUCGAGAAAAAGCCAAAGGAGAAAGACUGAAAGUAUAUCGAAUACGCACGAAAAUGUGUGGCUGAUUGACCAAAACGAAAAGAAGCAGCUUCAUUUUCUUCCAGAUCAACCACACUACUACAUACAUGGUCAGCGUACUUGGCAGGUGGCAAAAACUCAAAACCCAAAUGAUCAUCAUCAGAGUUCUACCAAUGUACGUUUGUAUAUGCUAAAUAUGCAAAACGCGUACAAAUUAGACCCAAAAAAAAAGUGAAGAAAAGAUAAAAGGGGAGAUAAAUUUAUGUUUUGGCAAUGAACAUCUUCAUAGUGGAUUAAUCAUUAAUUCAUUUACUAUGAAUAUAUAUCAAUAGUCUAAACUAUUGGUGAAGGGGUUUUCUCACACACACACGACUAUGAUGUCAUUGAGGUUCAAAUCUUAGAUCUCUGGUAUGCAAGUCAAAGUCCUUUUUCAUUGGACUAGACCUCGUUGGCCUAUAUUUUCUAUGUGCCUCAGCUUACUAUUACAUAGAUUUAAUGAACAUGUACGAAAUGAGGAUUUCGGAACUUAUAAAAAACGAUCUAUAGUUUGCUUCUCUGUAAUUCAUUUGAGUUUGUAAGUGAUGGGCCUACAUGUACCAACAAUAUAAGAUGAACUACCCAAUUAAUGAUAAUAGAUCAACUCUAAAAAUAUUGGAUCAAUUUUUCACGUAUUAUUUCACUUACUUACUUCCCAUAGACAUUCAAUUUUUUUACCAAGUUAUACCAGAAAAAGUUCGAUAGCUCCCACCCAGACUUUUUUUUUCUUCUUUCCGGAUAUAUAUGUAGAGAUCUCAAGAACCAUUGAACUGUACGUUGUUUAAACCUUGAACUGAUCAUGUAUUUUUGCUGGCAGAGCUGAUCGAACAGACAUGCAUGCCAGUGGUGACGGCAGGGUGGUAACAAGACAGAAUAUACUAAAUUCAAACAACAUUAAUAUUUUGGCAAAGAAAAUGAUAACAGAUGCUUUGACAAGAAUAUUUUCUUCACAGUGCAUGGAAUGGAACAAACCUAAUUUGCAAUUAAUGUGCAUGCAACUCUACUUUGGUACACACAAAAAAAGAAAAAAAAACUGUAGUUAAUUAAUAAACAAUGACGACAAAGAAUCUCAUUAUCCACAUCAACUACUUGUACCAGAAAUCAAAUCAAACUAGAAACACAAAACAGAAGAUUUGAGUCUAAAAGAUCUCUACAUAAUAUCGUUAAUAUCCAAAACACUCUCUGGGAUUUCAAACUUCAACCAGUCGCUGCAAUAGCUUUCUUUUUCAUCCUCUGUGCUGCUGUUUAUGUAUGUUCCCGAUGAAUUCAAUGCGGUGGGGCUUGAAUAAGGCGUCGACAUAACAGAAUCGAAGCUGAAAUCGCUACUUCUGUUGUAAUUCAAAGAUUGGAAAUAAUUUUCGGGCAAAUCAGGAAUGUUGGUGGGAUCACUUGAAGUAGUGCAAGGCACAUAGCUUGGUUGGCAAACAGCAGUUUGAUGAUCAGCCCCCAAAUUUGAAUGAACCAUAUUUUCUUGGGAAACAGUGGGGCAGUUAAAGUUGGUCAUGUUGGGUGAGUACCCUUCCGCAUUGAUCACUUGCAUAAGCUGUUUCAUUUUCGCCACGUCAGCAGAAAAGUCCCCUUGGAUCAGAUCUUGGAGCUGGUCAUGGGACUGUAAAGGCGGGAGCACUUGGCUAUUUUGCUGCUGGGAAUUGCAGAGCUGGUUUUGAUCAUGGAGAUUAUAGUUUUGGGAACACAAUUCUGGGUUUUCUUGUUUGAUUGACAACAGAUUGGUUGCCAGCCUUAGCAGCUCUGGAUUGACAAGCGGUUGCUGCUGCUGGGUGCUACUCAGCAAGCUUGACAAAUUAAGAAGGGCAGCAGCUGGAUUGUUGCACAUAUAUGAGCUGAGAAUUGAGGACAGAUCAAGAAGGUCGAUUCGUGGAGCAUGUGUCACCGGAUCAAUUCCCAUUUUAAGGAGCCUCUUUCUGAUAUGCGUGUUCCAGUAGUUCUUGAUCUCAUUGUCUGUCCUCCCUGGCAACCGAGCUGCAAUAGCUGACCAUCUGCCAUUAUUGGAGAACAGAUAAUUUGGUCAGGAGGAGCAAUUAAUUACAAAAAAAAUCAUAUUAAAUAUGUUUAGCAAUUAAGCUUACUUGUUUCCCAGGAUGCUAUGUAGCUGGAUUAUAGUCUCUUCUUCUUCAAAGGAGAAUCUUCCUCUCUUUAUAUCAGGUCUCAGGUAGUUUGUCCAUCUAAGGCGGCAACUCUUCCCACAUCUUUCAAGCCCUAUACAUGUAAUUACAUUUCAAUCAUUAAUUAGAUUAGAAUGAAAACAAACUGUUUGAUGAACAUGAUCAUAUAUAUGUACAUGUACACACCUGCGUUCUUCGGAAGGUUUCGCCAAUUCCCCGUUCCGUGUGUCUGAAUGUAAUCGACGAGCAAAGCAUCUUCUUCAGUAGUCCAUGGACCUUUCUUGAGUCCAUUUUUAUCACAGCAAGGAGCUCUUCCCAUCUUGGCAGUGGCACAGCAGAUGUUGUUAUCAAACUUGAUGUGGAGCUGGAGAUCAGAAGGUUUCGAUUUCGAAUCAAGCUACUUUGUGACUUAUAAUUGGAAAGUAGUGCAAUUAAGUUGCUGAUGAAAAGGGAAAGAUGAGGAAUAUAUAUAUAGCGGAGGGAUGAAGUUUGAGAAACAAUUUGAAGUCAAAGGGAUUUGGCGCCGGCCUCAUGCCACAUGUCCAUUUAUUUAUGUGCAGUAUAUGAAUGUAAUAUUAGGUAUAUAAUUAAGCUAUAAGCACAAGCCAAAAAAGCAACAAAAAAUAAAAUUAAAACAAAGCCGAGGAAUUGGGUCACAUGUAAAAGUAAACAUGGUCUGUCUAGUUUUAUUAAUCUUAUCUUAUGCAUGGAUACAAUUGUGCCAGCAGGAAUAAUACAAACUAUGAAGCUUUUGGACUUAUGGGGUUGACUUUUUUAUUUAUUUAUUUAUUAGUUUUAAUUUUUCUUCGUAAAUGUAUGUACCCAAGUACUGAAAAUGAUGGGGCGGUAGGGUUGUUAGAUCUGCUAUCAACAAGGAGAAAAGUUUCCACCCCUUCUGUUUCGUGAUUCAUUCACCAUUUGAUCAUAUUUUCUAUCAACUUUCUGAGGUUACUUGUUGUCGAAGGGCUUUCUUGAUUUCAUUUACGUUGGCUGUCAUCAGCAAAAUGCUCCACAAUAUCAUAUAAUAUUACAUAAUUUACCCAGGGAAAAAAAAAACAAAAAACAAGCUUUCCACUUCACUUACGUAACUGUCAUAAGAAAUAAUAAUUACCUCUAUAAAAAUUUUAAGUUUCGCCGUUGAAGAUGAACGUCCCAAUUCAAGGACUUCAUAGAAUCAUGAUCAUGCAUUGGUGAUCAUGCAAUUUUGACAUUAUUUUUUUUGAAAAUAUUUCACCAUAGUUGUCAAUCAUUGAUAAAUUAGAAAACGGAACUUUGAUUCAUGUCGUGUUUUUUUUUUGGUCAUGAUAAUAUUGAAUCCUUUGACUAUCUUUUUCAGAAUUUGUCUUUUUUCUAAAAGUGUUCUAAAUUUCUUGAUUGGUUGAAAUUCUACUAUAAAUAAUUGAAAAAAUUUCUUUGGUUGGUCCUACAAUAAUUGACAUAAUGUUUUUAUUUUGUAAAACAAAUUUAGUUCUAUGUUGAAUGCUGCCGUUUUGAAGAAUGAUAGGAACCUAAUUGUGAAUUGCCUUAGCACAGAAGAUAAACAAAAAAAAUGUUUAUUUGAUUUUCCUCACCUUUAAUCAAUCAAAAAUAAUAAACCCAGAAAAGUUCAUGAUGAUGUGUCAUGUUGUUAACACAUGUUCCCUAACUUUCCAAGCUGGAACGUCUUAGAAAUCAAGCCAUUAAAAUCUAGCCACGUAUAGCAAACGGAGACAAGUGUACUUCCUACUUUCCAACAACAAAGUCAACCCAUCUACUGCAAUCCUGAACUGACAAAUGUCCUCUUCCCGCAGCAAGCAAGUGUGCUUCUUUUAUCUGCAGUAGCAUUGUAACAAGGCAAAACCAAAGAAAUCUGAGUCAUUGAAAAUCAGGUGCUGUAGUCCAUCCACCUCUAUCUAACAUUACCCAAACUGGUCAAAUAUUAUCUUAUUAUAUAAUCUCAAUCUUACUGAGAUUUUGCCUUGAAGUCAAAUCAAAUUGCUGCUGCUGCUGCUUGCUUGUUUGCUUUGCUUUCCAGUUUUCACCUUUCUUCUUUCACUUCCCAAACUACAAAAAGAAAAUCUAGAAGAAGUGAUGCUUUUCCGCCCUCAUAUUGAAUAUGGGUGCUGCUUGCUUUCUCAUCGUAAGGAGUCACUCCUGUUAAUCACAGUUUAACACAUAUAUAAAAAUAAUUUAUUAAAAAUAUCAUACUGCUAUUAACAGGAAUAUAAGAAUUCCUACUUAUAUAAUAAAAAAGAAAAAUGUUUUAUAUUAAAUAUUCAUAUCUCGAUAUAAAAGGUCAUUUAUUUUCAAUUCUGUGAUAUCAGCUGUUGAACUUCGAGAAUAAGUAGUUCAUAAGAUCAGCUCAUACGCUAUCAAUAUUAUAUAUUCCAUGUCCCAAAAUAGUUUAAUUGUUAAGCAAACCAUAAUUGUUAUCUAUGUCUCCCUGUUUGCUGUCUACAGGACACACACACAUAUAUAUCAUUUAAUUUAUUUGGAUCAGCAAUGAAGCUUUUAGAAACUUUAAUUUUAUGGCUCUGACACGUGCCCAAAUAUUAUGUAACCAUAAUAUCCAUUUUAUGUGGUCGUGGAAAGUUUUAUGCAGUGUGUGUGUGUGUGCGCGUAUCGUCACUAUAUAUAAAAAUAAUUUUUGCUUGUUGAAGGGUUUGUGAUGAUGAAUUUGAUGCAUGCCUUAUGCCUAUACGUACACAUUAUACCAGUUUAGGUAAUUACUUGUCGCAAAUCUAGGGUUGGUAGCACCUGUAUGUAUUAUAUUAAAAUUGGGUUGAAUCGUCUAUAAAAACGUUGCUAGCUAACUUGUUCUUGUUGAUGUCAGGCCUCCAAAUCUCCCAACAAACUUUGAAUAUCAAUGGCUUCUGUUUUUUAGAGAAUUAUGGGGGUACGUACUUAAUUAACAAAAUUAAAACUUCACACACACACAUAUAAUCCCUUUUUAUUAAGGGAUUCUUUAAAUAAUUUUAUUUGAUGGAUGCUUUUUAGAGUAUUCUACAAAAAAAAUUUCAACGAUCCAAAUUAUUUAUUUUUUAGGUCUUCAUUCAUAGAUCAUCCUUGCAAAAAAAAAAGAAAAAGAAAACCAUUUAGACAUAUAAUUGUGUUCUACAAAAUCAAUUAAUAUGGUGCUUCAAGAAAGUAUUAAAAUUUCAAUAAUUUAAUUGAGUAGUCAAAUAAUAUCGGAUUCAAGUGAUUUUUAAUAUAUGUAUAUGAUCGAUCGGCUUGUUUUUUUUAAUAGUUUAAAUUAAACUAAUUUACAGAGAAUAAAUUCGAACUUGAAUGCAAAAGAACUUUAAACUCACUGUCUUGAUCAACUGACCUAACCUAUAUUUAUCGAGCGGCUUGUUUCUAAAUGAGUUAGGCUCUAAGUUUUUGGUGGAUGUAAGAGAAAUAUAGAUCGACCUCUUAAUAUUCUACGCAUCCAUGCACGUAGGUGUUGAGUAUGACAACAUGAGAUCUAUAUGUAUAUUUUUGUACGAUAAAUUUGAGGAUUGAAUUACAGAUCUGAAUACAGAGAACAUGGCCGUUGACCGUUGACCCCCCUCUUGAGGGCUUAGCUGUUGUCACUUGUGUAAACACGUGUACAAGAAUUGUGGUACCAAGAUUGUAUGCGAUGCAUGGCAAAAUUACACGUAAAAUGACCGACGUUGUUGGUUGUUCAACCUUUUUUUAUUUUUCGGCCACUGUGCUUUGACUUCACUUAUAUGAUGAUGAUGUGGUACAAGUGAUAUUAAAAUUAAUGGAUUAUAUUAAUAGCUAGUGGGGAUGGAUUUAGUGCUGCAGGGAAAACCUGAUACAUGCAUGAUAUCGUCUCAAUUUUUUUUCUCUUUAUAAUCUUGAUUUCGAGUGCAUAUAUAACUGCUCUUAAUUACAUAAGUUGAUCUAAAAGCGUAUUUUUUUUAUAAAUUUAUUUAGAAUAUUGGGACCUUUAAAAAAAAAAAAAUUUUGAUUUUUGCUUCUCUAAUUUCCGUUGAUAUGCUGAAUGUAAAAGAGUUUGGACUGGGUCGAGCCCUUUUUGCUUCCAUUAACUUGGGCUAUUGAUUUAGUUUUGGGCCAGCUUCCACCAAUGCUUAGGCCCUGUCUUAAUUAUUGGGUAGGGAGCUCACUCAAACUAGAGAGCAACCUUUAAACCCAACCCAACCCAACCCACAACUAUAUGUACUCUGCCAUGACCUCUCUCUUUUUCUCUGCUACAUAACAAGGUGUUAAGCAGUUCCCAAAAUAGGUGAUGGCCAUCAUCACCCUCCAUUGAAGCCACAUCAGUUUCACUACAAUCUCGUGCGUGCCUUCAUCAAAUACACCCAUUUUGGGAAGUGUGUUUUUGGGGCUCCACAUUUUCGUUUUUGCAUUCAGUCAGGACAAAUCGUUUCAAGCUUUGAAUAUUUUCUCCUCCUAAUACAAAUGUUGCUCGAACAUUAUUGUCUGCAACAGUUGAAUUAGAUUUUCCCACGCUGAUCUCAAGCUGAUGUACUGGAUCAACAAAAUGGGCUCAUACCCUUUUCGGUCUGUGAUCAUUUCCUUUUCAUAGACUGGAGGAGAUUCAUAUACAAGAUAUAUAAGUCUCCCCUAGACUUGUGCACAUAAGCCCAACAUUUCAUGAAAUGGUUAGCAGAUCGUCCAUCCACAACGUGACGAUACGUUAUAGCAAGGCAAAUGCCAGACUUUGGAAAAAUUGUUGCUUGUAAUGCAUGAACUGAAAAUACAAAUGUGCUUGUGUCAUUGGAAACUGAAAUCAAAAUGCAUAUUAUUAUUGUUAUUAUUCAAAUCAGGCAAUUGAGGAACAAGGUGAUCAAAUUCUUUGACAUGCCUUUGGUGGUUGCCUAUAAUUAAUAAGAUGGUUGAAAUUGGCCGUGGACUCAACAAUGUCGAGUGCGACUGAAGAGUCGUUUGCGGAGUAGAGGAUGUAAGGCAUGGUGGGAGGUGGGGGACAAGUGAGGUGGCCACAGAGAGGGAAUAAGCGUUGGAGAGUGAGAGAGAGAGAGAGAGAGUGUUUGAAUGUUGGAAGGAGAGUUUGGGUGAGGGAAUUCAUAGAAGUAGAGGCGUGUAACAGGUCGGGGCAUGGAAAAAGCCAAGGCAAGUCUAAGAAAGUGAGGGGAAGAGAGGUGGGGAGAGAGACUUGGCAUUGCUCUAGGACCUUAUAAACCAACUUUCCACUAGUACAUGAAUUAAUUUCGGGUCUUAUAUGUAGGUGUGUGGUAGAGAUACGUGAAAGGUGCACCAUUAUAACAAACUCACGCGUACAACUGAAAAGAUACAAAAUAUCUCGUAAAUAAUUAAAGUUUAUUUGAGAGGGAUCUCUUGAUGAAAUAAGUUUGGGUGGGAAGGGGAUGUUGAAAGUAACAAAAUGUGAGGAAACUUCAUGGAAAGUGUCACCUUAUUUCUCAUUUUCUGACGACCUUUUUUUUUUAGGUACACAUUUUUUCUGAUAACUUUAAUUCACCAUAUUGUGUGAUAUUAACAGAUGUGUUCACAAAUGUCCAGAUCAUAUGGGAAUCUCUAACGCGGAGUCAUUAUUAGUUACCUUGAAAAAAGAAAAUCAAGAAGAAAAUCAACUCUCAAAACCAAAACCACAACCACAACCACAACAAUUGAUGACAUGUUGGAAUAUGACAUGUUGGAAUGUGGGUCCCAGCGUCCACUAAUCCCACAUCGUUUCAGCAGCAGGGCCCCACCAGAGGAUUCCCAGCGGAAUCCGACAUCAGACCACAAAUCAAAGUACCAAACAGAUGUUCCAUCUGGCAAUGCUAACCUUCAAAGUACGUUAAAGGACUUUUAGACGAAAUUAGAAGCGCUUUUCGCUCCGUAAAAGUGCUUGUAGCAACGCGUACCAAACUUCUGUUUUUUUGAAUGAUCCGAAGAGAGAAACACUUUUGCAACGGAAAUACCAAUAUUUUGUAUUUCGGUCAUUAACGCUGUAAAGAUAACAAAACUAAUGCUAUCCUCUUUUCACAGGUAGAGCACAGAACGACAGAAUAGGAACGUUCGCUCCCCUUCAUCCAUCGUGUGAAUAGUAGUAAUUUCCAAUCCAAGACAUUUACUUUGCCUUCACUUCCUCAAUAAUUUCGAUCACGUUUUAAUAGCUUCCUUCGGUCAUGCUUAAUGGCAUCUAUCACGUUUCCACAAUGAGCUUUAGAAGAAGAAGAAUAAGUCAACUGUAUCAUAUCAUAUAAUCUCCACAUUCCGCGUUUUCUCUGCAACUUUUGGUUCUCUGGAUCCGAAAAGCCUCUAUCUUUAACCCUUCUUAUCCUCAACUGCAUAUUCUCCCCGAGAUUUGGUCUACUUUUCCGCCUGAAUUCUGUUUCCCGGGUAUUCAGAAUCUCACUUCCAUCAUUCAGCUUAUCUGGUAAAUGGUCAUAGGCUCUCAUCUCCUCGGCUCAAUAGGUAUUUGGUCUUCUUUCGUUGCCUUCUCACCCAAUUCGAACUUUUUGCUCUUUUCCAAGUUUACCCAAUGGAUUUGUAUUGUUGGUUUAUCUUUUGCUUCACCAGACACUGUAUUUCUUUUCAUGCUGAGACUUGAAGAUUCAAAAUUUGAACAUUUUCUUUCCUGUUUCUUUUCCUGUGGAUGUAUUCUCGGCAUCCAAACAGAAUUUAUUUAAAUGAUGUCUUUGCCCUUUGGCCUUUGGAUAUCUUGCAUAGACUGAAUUUUGAGUAUGUUCAUCAGUAUCCUGCAAAGUUACUAUUUUUAUUUCUAAAUCACUAUUAUCAUUGGUUGAAGAAAUGGCUAUCUUCAGGCUUUUUAUUACAAAAUAUUGCUAAUUAUGAUUUAAAUAAUACAGUUGGAGGAAAAAUGGCACAUUCCAACUCUGGGGAGGACUUCUUGAAGAAUUUCAAAAUUCCAAAGUAUGUACUAGUGCCAAAAUCAGAGAGUGAAAAUGUACCUAAUGUACCCGAUGUACCCCAGUGUCCAGUUUUAGUGUUUAUCAACUCCAGAAGUGGUGGUCAGCUAGGUGGGGAUCUUCUUGUAACGUACCGUUCCCUUCUCAAUGAAACUCAGGUAUUAAUAUAUUUUUUUCUUUUCUGUAUGGUCAAAUGUUGUUAAAUUUCUCAGUUUAAAUUAUGGAUUGAUUAUUACUUCAGCGGUUGCAUUAAGCGGCUAUUUUUAUUUCAAUUUUUUUGCGAAUCUGAUCUUGAACUAGCUUAUUUGUAGGUUUUUGAUUUGGGGGAAGAGACUCCUGAUAAGGUGCUGAGCCGAAUCUAUGCCAAUCUGGAAAAACUCAAGCAGAAUGGGGAUGAAUUUGCUACAAAGAUUCAAGAGAAAUUGAGAAUAAUUGUGAGUCAAACUAUAAUCAACAUAAAUGGUGUGCUAUUUUUAUUUUUCAUGACCUUGCAGGCUGUUGCCCUUUCCUGUUUCUGACAUGUACCAAAUCCUCUAGGUUGCAGGUGGUGAUGGAACUGCUGGUUGGCUUCUUGGAGUUGUUUCUGAUCUCAAAUUAUCUCAUUCACCCCCAAUAGCAACAGUACCCUUGGGAACUGGAAACAAUCUUCCAUUUGCAUUUGGAUGGGUAGGCAAUUUCCUGUCCCAGUGGCUUUUAUGGUCUAGAAUUACCUAAAUCAUAUUUGGAUGCUUGGUUGAGUUGUCAUUUAUGCAAAACCACAAUAUGCUUUGAUAUUAUGCAGGCAGUCAGUAGUUACAACUAGGAUUGCACUCAUGUCUUGUUGAUUCUUGUACCUUUCAGAGUUCAACUUGUUAAUGCACUCUAUGGAAGGGCAUUUUGCGCCAUUCUUAUUGUAGAAUUAGUUCUCUUCUUAAUCUUUUCUUUUUACUCUCUAAAAUCUCAGAGUUUUUUAUUUAUUACAAGUAGAUGUGCAUACUACCAAUACAUUUCUCAAUUUCUUGUUUGAAGACACAAUAUUUACUAGCAAUCCUUAAGUAGUGCUGCCAUGUUUGUACUUUACUCAAGUUUAAAUUUUCUGAGUGAUUUGUAAUUCUCAUGGCUAAGGUAAUAGUGCAGCCAUUGAUUGCUUGCAUCAUGCAUGACAUGCUGUUUGAUAAUUUUUCAGGGGAAGAAGAAUCCCGGGACAGAUCCUCAAUCUGUGAAAUCGUUUAUGAAUGAAGUAAAGAAAGCCAAGGAAAUGAAAAUAGACAGGUGUGACAGUCAUCAUUGUUUCUUUUUACAUCCUGAUUUUUGUAAAUUCGAAGUGCUGUAGAUUCACAGUACUGUUUCUAGAUGAUUCACAUCUCAUCAUUUAAAUCAUCUCCUUAAUUGUUUGCAUAUAAUAGAUUUACCUGUCUGCAGAUGGAGUUUUGAAGUAUGAAUUCUUUGAUGACUAAUUUUAUUCAGUCCUUUUUUUUCCUUAAGUCUCCUUCAUCUUCAUUGCAAGUUUUAACCAGUUCUCCUUUUUUAGUAAAUGCAAAUUCUGAUUUUGUUUUUUCUUCCUUAUUCUGAUAUAGCUGGCACCUCCUCAUGAGGAUGAAGACUCCAAAAGAUGGUCCAUUGGAUCCCAUUGCUCCUCUUGAGCUUCCACAUUCUUUGCAUGCAUUUGGUCGAGUCUCUGAUACAAAUGAGAUGAGCGUGGUAAGUCCUCUCUUAUCUGUUUUAGUAGCGAAAAGAACCAGAUCCAUAGAGUAGCAGGCAGUUAAAAUCAGUUACUGAGCCAGCUUUCUGCUCGUGGUUGAUUUGCUUUUGAACAAAUCUAAUGCAGAUAGAUUUUAAAAUUUCAUGGUUUCAGUGUUGACCUUAGAUGUGUCAAAAUUGCAUAUCACUUGCGUAUGAUUGCAAAAGGGCCUGAUUUCUAACUAGAGUCUAAUUUUUUUAUUCUUGCUUUGUUCCUUCAUCAACCUAUAUAACCAAAUGGAGUUAACCUUCAACUUUACAAUUUUUAUGCGCUUUUUCUAAGCACAAAUUUCAACCAAAAUUAUCUAGGAGUAAUCAAGAAAAUGCAAUCAACUGAUGGAAUGAUGUUUAAAAGAAGUGUCACUUUUAAAUGUUUGACGUUCCUUUUGUGAAAGCUCAAAGCUCUUCUCUUUCUUGUUGGAGACAAGUUUGGUCUGCUGUUUUAUACACAAAUGUUUGGGUGCUUUGCAGGAAGGUUGCCAUACAUUUCGUGGGGGGUUUUGGAACUACUUCAGUAUGGGUAAGAGUUCUUCCCUUGGAGUCCUGUCAAAUAUUUUGAGCCUUAAUCUGCAUAGCUAUCUCAUUCUUUCUAGAAAAUGUCUCCUUUUGCUGAGUCGAUUUAAGUUCCACCAUUGUCACUUGUUUGUAGUGAUAUUCAAAAUUAGUAUCUUAUCUUCUUUUUUCCUGUAUAUAAGCCAAAUAAUUGUUGAUAAUAUCUUCCUUAACUGUGUUUUUUGAAAUGGACUACAUGUUUAUGGUUGUAGGGAUGGAUGCUCAAGUAUCAUAUGCAUUUCAUACUGAGCGAAAGCUGCAUCCCGAAAAGUUUAAAAACCAGUUUUCAAAUCAGGUACAUACUUCUUGAAGAACCAUUAUGAUCCAUGGAUAUCGUGUAGUUAAAUCAUGAUAAUUAUUUGAUAUAUUACUUAAGAAAAUUUAUAAUAGAUAACACAAACUAAAAGGUAGGAUGCAAAUUAGAAAUAUUAGUUGGUACUAUACGCCAUAGGUGUUAAACAUAGAGCAGCUAACUUUUACAAUGUACAUGAACCUCGAUAGAUGAAUUUGUCACGCAUUUUUAAACUUGAUCCUCAUACACCAUUAGUGCUGAUGCUAACAUGAACAGCGAGAUGAAGGCAUUCACAAUCCAUUAAAUAACUGAAAGACCUUAGGGUUUUAAUUCUGUUCUUUUUCGGAGUAAUGAAUUCAUGAACUUCUUAGUAAUUUUGCCUGCAACCCCUCAUUUUUCAUGAACUAGAGUUAGUCAUAUACAGUAAAUUUUCUGGCGUGGAUAAAUCUGUUACAGCAUUCAUGUCAUUCAGUUUAACUGGAUCUUGCUCUGCAUAUUAUGAUAUAGAGAGAAACACUACUUAUUCCUCUGCUCUUUUCUUUAAUCCUAAAUACAGAGUACUUAUGCAAAGAUUACCCGUUCACAAGGCUGGUUUUCUUCUUCCCUUUCUCAGUCUUCUUCCCGGUGAGCAUCUAGAGAUUGCCCGUCCAGCAAUGGAUUACCUUUUAGCAUCUUCUUUACUGAAUAUGAAAUUAACUAAAUCUCUUGAAAUAGGAACAUAAACCAAUUUGCAAAGUUGAUGAUCAUGAAAAACCAUGGUGGUCAUUGGGAAGAGCUCCAAAUUCCUUCAAGGUACAUUGUUGUCUAUAUUAUAACUGAGUUGAGCUUGCUUGAUCUUGGAUUCAUGCCAAGUUCUGUAUUUGAUCCAGUUGCUAAUUAAUUUUCCGGUUCCUAUAAGAAAAAUUUCCAUGCCACCCAUGUCCAACGUCACUUUUCUCCUUAAAAAUUUCCAUGCACUACUUGUACCGUGUUCCCUCGUUUUCAUUUUGCAUGGGUGUGAACUUCGUUCUCAUGAGUCUGUGUUGCGCUCUACUGCAAAAGGGCAACAUCUCUUGCACAAGGAUUAAAUUGAUUUAAUAUUUUGUUUCUCGUCUCUGUGGUACUUGAUGCUUGAUUUUAUUUCACAAAUAAUGUACAGUUAUUCUUUAUUAACUUCUGCGUUUCAAUUUUCAGCAUCAAGUCAAUUGUGUGCCUCAAUUUGCCUAGCUUUUCUGGUGGAUUUAAUCCUUGGGGAAUGCCAAGUAGGAGGAGGCAUAAUGUUGGUUCACGACAUCACCUAGUGAAUUGGAUCCAAAUUUCUUUUCUUAUUAUGUCUAACAAAUUCUUUGGUGGAUUUGACUUUUCAGGGAGAGUUUACUCCACCAUAUGUAGACGAUGGCCUCAUUGAGGUCGUUGGUUUCAGAGAUGCUUGGCAUGGGCUUGUUUUGCUUGCGCCAAAGGGACAUGGGACUCGUCUUACCCAGGUAAUAAAUAUGAAAUGGUUUUGUUACAUAAUUUGCAGCAAUGAAUCUUGAUCAAGCUGAAAUUAUGUUCAUAAUUGGCUUAUUUUAUGCUAAUCUUAUCGAUGAUAGGCCCACCGGAUCCGCUUUCUGUUUCACAAGGGUGCAAUCGAUCAUACGUACAUGAGGAUUGAUGGUGAGCCCUGGAAGCAACCCCUCCCAGUUGAUGAUGAAACUGUCAUGGUGGAAAUCUCUCACCUUCGCCAGGUGAACAUUCUUGCCACACACGGCUGCAGGUCGAAAAGCAUUAACAAUCCUGUGUCACCGAGCAGCCAUGGAGCUGAUGAAGAGGAUUCGGAUGAAGAAGCUCAUGAAUCAGCAGAGUAUAGGAAGUUUGGUGCAGCAGACACAUUUAAGCUCCCGGAAGAAAUUGAUAUUUCUCAGCUUAGCUAAACCACUUAUUAAGUCAUUCCUUUUCUGUCCAAUCCUAACUCCCUUGUGAACGAGUGAGAUUUCUAUUGGGAUUUCAUUGCCAUCUUAGCUUAGUACCAUUUCCAGCAGUCAACCAUGAAAUAUCUUUUUAUUUCUUUGUGAAGAAUUGUUAUCUAGUUGUAUAUUAUUGAUUUAUGUGAAUGAAAUAAAUGCAAAUAAUUCUUCUCAAAUUCGUUGGAUCCCAUCAAGUCCUGGCAGAACAAGGGUACAAGCAUUGAAGUAAAAGAAACUCAAUGAACCAGGAAGAUGAAAUCUUUAUGAUAGGAGGCUCAAUCAUAUGUAUACACAGUGCAUAAAAAUCGUGAUUACUUGUAAGGUCAAGCUUAGGCAAUGGAGGCAAGAGUGAUGCUAUGGAAGCACUCGAUUAGGGUGAGAGAGAGAGAGAGAGAGACUAGCACUUAGCUUUACUGUGGAGAACCCGAUUCAAAUAUUGCAAAUCGAGAAUUGUAGUUACAAGCUAUAAUACAAUUUUUUUUUUUUUAAACAAAAGGUAAUAAUAAAAAGUAAAUAUGUAGACAUGUGGGAACAUAGGCUGUUGCUGGAGCACCACUGCAAGCAAUACACUAACUGCAAACCUACAAGUCGGUGGAAAGGUACAUGCCUAAGUGUAAAAACUCCAACUCUACCUCAAAGAUUUGGGGAUCUGCAGCUUCGCGGAGAGUGACCAGCUUUGAAGGAGGCAUCACUCCGACUACUGGCGAACAUAUUGGUAGUCUCCCAUUCAUUUUGUAACUGCUUCAUUGGCCUUCUGAUUUUCAACCCUUUCUUCUCUUUUCUUCUUCUCCCUGAAAGCCACAAUCAUUGCAUUGAAAUACUAUGGUUACCCAUUGGAACACAGUAAGCACAAAAGCUUCUCCGUCCUUAAUGAAUCAUAAGCCAAAACCCAUAAAUUAUUACAGAUAAUCGAACUAAAGCUAUGGAUUUUAACUUUAUAAGGUCUAGUGGAUUAACUGGUUAAAUAUUUUAGCUUCAAUUGUGGAUGUCAUGUGAAUUGUGAUCAGGUAGAGACAACUAGUACCAGAGCGACAGGUGUACACUUGAGGAUUAUUAUCAUGUCCAUCUUAUCUAUCAUAUAUAAUAUACUAUGAAUUCAAUAACGGACAUGAUGCUGAGGGAGAUGUUACCUGGCCACAUAUUCCUUUAGAAGUUCUUUUGCCUGAACCAGCUUGGAAAGCAGAUUGCGGUACACAUCAAGGUCCCGGUCCACACUUCUUUUGUCAAUGUUUAAGGCUGCACAUAACUGUUGGACAACCAAAAAUGCUCAAACAUUGCUCUCUCUCUCUCACCAACCAUUAAAUAUGGUCUCCAGUUAAAAAUUACAAACAACUCUUCAAAAGUCAGCAGAGCCCAUUAGGCCCAGGAAAAAUGUAUAUAGUAAGUAAAUCUAUCGGCUCAAGUUGAUCAUGCAAGGUAAUUCAAUCAUUUGAUGUAACGGUCAUUAACUCAACCAAGCACAAAAUGCAGUAAUUUUAACAUUUGGCUGAACACCUAUCAUUGAGUUGUAAUGUUGAUGCAUAGGACUGGCAAGUCUAACCUUUUCUAAUAUUGUUGGUUCAGUUGCAUUGGCCAAUUCGAGAAGACGAAAGAGCCCAACAGCAAAGAAACGACUGUAGCUAAAACUUCCUUUGCUUGCUGCCCUUUCUGCAAUGUCCUUCAAUGUCCCCUCAAUUUCUCCUUCUCUGGAUGGGAACUCAACUAAUGAACUGGAAGUUUGUGCCCGAGCCCACUCUUCCAACUUUUGUGCAUCAAUUCUGUAGUGCUUAGCAUGGAAACUUAUCUAGUAAAGGUAGAGACUUUUCUCAAAUAUAUAAGAAAGAGAUUGAUUACAUGCAAAAAUAAAAACUCAAAUGCACAUGACACUCCCACUGGAAAAAAAAUGCAGUAGAAGUUUUGACAGUGAACAGAUUAAGAAUUGUUUCCCACAAAAAUUACUCUUCUGAAGAGGAAGCACAAAUGAUUGGUCAUGGUCAUGGCCAGUAUGACAUAUUUGUAGUGUAAGGAGGUGUAAAUUCUUAGACUCAGUUUACAUUUGGAAAAGCAGAGGAAAGGGAAGAAACCAUUUCUGUGGUUGAUGAAUUAAAUUAAUUAAAUCACAAUUUUUUUUAAUAUAAAAAAAUUAUCUCUACUUCAUAGAUUUUUCAAGAUAAAAAAGAAAAUGAUAGAAUACUUAACAAAUUAGGAUUCCUUUUUUCUUUUUUUCUCAAGUAUCCUAUGACCAGUGGUUUUCCCUUUAUUUUUCCAAUAUCAAAACUGAUCCUUCAAUGCAUGUGUCUCAGAUUAUUUUAUCAACCAAUCUUCUGGCAUAAACUAGGAAAUUCUGAUGUAGCAUUAUGCAGUUUGCAUGAUUCAGAUAUCUUCUUAAUAGGAUUUUCUUGGUUAUAAAAAAAAGGAAUACUUAAAUGCAAUAUCACAAUCUCAAUUAGUAGCUUACAUGUUCACUUAGUUUUCAUAAUUUUGAAACCUCAGAUAAUGCGAUUGUCAGUUUGCCACAGUUUACAUACCACAUUUCUUCGUUUCAAAAUAAAAACUUAUGCAAUGGAAAAAAACAGAGAAGAGGAAUCCCGAAGAAGAUCCCACACAAGUGACAAACCUGUAUUGCUCUGGGUCCUCAUUCAAUGCUUCGAUGUAAGCUUGGAAGAUUGCCUCUCGAUCCUCAUCGCUGGGGUAUCCAUCCAUGAGUUGAUCAAAUACAGUGACAAAACCAAGGGCGAACACGGGAUCAUACCGGUAUGACUUCUUGUACUUAAUCAAAUGCUGUUGGACAAUCAGCUCCUGCAGCACAGUGUUGUAAACACUAGGGAUUGGUCGCUUAUACGCUUUAAGAAAAUUCAACUUUGUGUCAGCUACAGUAGGCGCAUCUGCACAUCAAGUAAGCAACCACAAGAAGACCAAGAAAAUUAUGGAGAAUUUAAUUAUAAACUUCUUGUGGAAUAAAAAUUAAGAGUCUGUUGAAACAAAUUUAACCAAUAUAAACUCUGAUAAAAUUCAAGCAUAUUGGCUCAGGAACCAAAGAUGGGUCCUGAUGAAUAUGAACAUCUAGCUAGAUAAUUAGUUCAUCAAGGCUCCAUUGUUCUUAUCCCACAUGAUCAAGGCAAGAUGAUUAGAAAAAUUCUUCCUUUCCAUAUCAGUAAAAUAACUUCCUACCAUUAACAUAUAAGGAAAGGCAUAACAAAAAACAUUACAGCUAAAUUAGAUCGAACUAAAAGCUUAAUUUUACUUUAAACGAUGUUAAUUUAGUAUGCCAUAGCAGGCCAAAGAGGUAAAAAAGCAGAAAUGAACGGAAAAUUCACUAGCUCCUGCACAAAAUUAUUUAAAAUUAAGCUCCAGUCUAGUUCCUGAUAAAAUGUAGCAACGUUAAAAGAUAGCAAUUCAAUGGCAUCAAACAAAGGUACGAAGCAAAACCCACAUGACGCGCCUGACAUGCAAUGAAUCAUCAUACGAGAACUCGAACUCGAUGCUCGAACACCACCAUUAUUGCAGGAAAAGCUCGUACGGAGCCGGAGACCUUCGGAGUUGUAAGCCAAAUUCCGAGUAGAAGAUAUUACCGAUUUUCUAUCAGAACACUGACUCAGGGCAGAGAAAGAGAGAGAAGCAACGGCAGCCAUUUUUGGAAGAGAGAGUAUUAGAGUUGGAAAUUUUCCGGGAAAAUUUUAAGCAUAGUGGAGAGGAAGAGAGAAUUUGGUGGGUUUUAGGAUUUUAAUUUAUAAAAUAAUUUCGGGGAAGAGUGUGAGAGAGAUAGAGGUCCACGAAAAGGCUUAUCCAAGUGUUGUGAUCCAGUAGUUUUUUGACAAGUGGUGUUUCGUGGUGCGGUAUCUGAAAGAGAGACAUGGUGAUGGGUCGGACUGAAUUGGACCGGGCCGCCUGAUAUUUUAUUGGAUAGUCAGUUUAUUUUGUUUCUUUUCUUUUUUGAUAGAGGCCAUGGAAAGCGAUAGCCGUUUUGAUUUAGAGUAUGCGCGGUCUAGUUUGGUUUGAUUCGAUUAAUGGAUGACGCCUAUAGCCAUGGUUGUCGACAUUCAAAUGUUAAUCAUAGUUUGUGAGGAGAUUAAUUUGAAGGGGGUGAAAUAGUGUAACGUCAAUCAAAAUAAUAUCUAACAUCGUUAAUAAAUAUUGUCAAAAUUAUGGAUGUGCGAAAGUCGUUUUGAUUUAGAGUAUGCCUAAUUUGGUACGGUAUUGGUUUGAUUUAUUCUCGAACUAGUAGUAUAAUCAAUUCAUUUUGAUGAUCAAUUUGGUUUAGUUUGUUUUGAUUUCCCUUACUUAAUGAUUAAGAAAUAAUAUAUUCUUUUACUUAAAUCAAAGAAAAAUUCGUUGAAAAAAUAGUUGAGAAAACUUCUUAAGGUUGAAUAUGUAUUUAGAGAUAGAGAUAGAGUACAACAUCGAUGAGUAACAUCAAUGUGUUGGAAGAUUCAUAAUAGUGAAUGGUGACAACCAAUAAGAAAAUGCACAUUAAAAAAAUCAUAAAAACAAUAUAUGUGGUUUUAUUCGGUUUAUGCGGUUAAAAAAGGUCAACCUGAAUUAAACUGAACAAAACAGCUCAAUAUAGGUGAUUUAGUUCGGUUUAUAUGGUUUUCAAGUAAGCCAAAUCAAAUCAAAAUAAACUAAUUAUGAACAAUUUAAACUGAACAAAACUGCUCAAAUGGAUUGGCCAGUUCGAAAUCCCUACUUCGGUUGAUAAAUAGAAAUCAAAAUGGAACUAAAGAUGAAAGCAAAAUUCAACUCUUAAGAAAGAAGAAAAGGAGAAGGGCAAGUUGCAAGGAUUGUUAGGUGUCAAUCUUAUCCAAUUGUAGAGUUAAACGUGUACAGGCUAAACAUCGACUCAUGUGGAAAUAUGCCUUCUCUGCCUCCAAUGUCGAUGGAAGCAACGUGCUCUGCAUUGUUUUUUAAUUUUCUGUCUGUGACUGUGAUACUAUCUUCUUAAACAAAACAGGGAAGAUGAGAAGAAAAGCUCAGGACACCCCAAGAUCUCAAUGCUUUGAGUGAAUUGAUUUUGCCAAGUGGCAAACCCUAACAAAAGCUUUUUUUUCUUCUUCUUUUCUUUUCUAAAGGAGAUAUUACUUGAUCUUUAGCAAAUCAGGAAAGGAAAUUCACCAUUUUUUUUAUAUACAAAACCUCUAAAUCAUUCUUUUCCAGCUAUGUUGCUGCCCUGCUGCUUCUGUGUCUAUAAAUGGAAGCUGGCCUCCAAGUUGUAGCCAUAUAUUUCAUUCUUAAUUUGAGUGCAUAACACUCCAAGUGCAGAGAUCACAAAUCACUUACAAUGAUGCAAGGAACUAAUGGCCAAGCUGCUGCUUCUGCUUCUUCUCCUAAAGGCAACUACUCUGUCUCAUCUUCUACUAGGCCAACUAUAGCAGAAGUUUAUGGUGGUCUUACACCAAAAGUACUUUUCAAUAAAGCUACUGCUAACAACAGCACUACUACUAGUGAUCAAACUCAUCAAAGGCUUAAACAGCUGCAGGCAGAAGAAUCGCUUCGCACUGUCAUGUACUUGAGCUGCUGGGGUCCUAACACAUGAUGAUUCAUAGCAGACACUCUAGUAUAAAAGUAUCCUAGAUUAAUUAGUCUCUCUCCAAGAGGACUUAAGUUGUUAAUUUCUUCUAUCUUUAGUUUUAAACUCUUGAAGAACUGUGCUGUAAAAUUAACUCUUGACUAUUUUUCAUAUGAAUCAUGCACAAUAUUUUGUAUCUGUCAAGAAGAAAAUUAACUGCAGAAGUAAGUAUUUAUUUUAUUAGAUCAUCAAGCAGUGAUGUGUGGCUCUACAGCCCAAGAAGCGGGCUAGCUUUUUCCAUUACAAAACUCACAACUCUCUUUUGAAGGAAGAAAAGCUGCAUAUAGUAUAACAAGGAGGAGAUCACAUCAUGCACAGUAUAAGUAUCAUAUCGGCAUGAUUGUAGUUAGGUUCAUAAGUAUAUAGAUAUCAUGGCUAAUUAGGGCCCCAACAAAUUAGAUUCAUGACUUUCUCAACGUUUUCGGCUUUCCUUAAGCACAUCUGUCUCUCUUCCACUUCAAUCUUCUUCUUCACGGUCUCAUAGGUGGUACAAGGAAACCUUAUUUCAAAAAGCUUGUGCAGAUCAGAUUCUGGUUGGGAUUUUUCUUGAUGGCAAGGCAUGAUUGUAGUUAUCAUGGUGAUGCCUUUUUAGUUUUUAGAGCACUGCUGACUGCUUAAUGAUCCAAUUCCCCUCCUGCAUAUUUAUAUAUACACUUUUUUCUUUUUAUGUAAACAAAUCUUUAUUUUUUUAUAAAAAAAUUAGUCUAUACUUACAGCAUCUGAUUUUUACAAAUUUUGUUAACUUAUUUCGUGGCUUUUGGGUUAGCGUUAAAUGGGGUUUUGGCUAAUUAUGUGUCUCUUGAUUGGAGUAAAGGCUACUAGCUUUUAGAGUUCAAAACUAGUGAAGAUAGAUGAGUUUUGUCAAAAAUAUGGGAUCAUCAAGUGGUAAUUCAGGGUCUAAUUAAUUCAUUUUCAAGCUAAAUUAUGUAGGGGGACGAUGACGAUUGAUUCUAACAGCAAAAGGAGUGAUUUCAUCACUGCAACUUGAGUAGCCUCUCGUAUAGGACUAAAGCAGUCAUUUGAAAAUGAGCAAUAUUUGGAAAAAGAAAUAGAUGAAUGAUCAAAAUAUCCCUUCCAAAAGUUGCACAAAAAAAUCCAUAUUAAAAUAAGUGUAGAACAAAAACAAGUUGGUACGAGCAUGACACAUUCGAUAAGAUGAAACGAAUGUAGCUAGUAGCACGAAAUGGAUCGCACGUAUCAGGAGACAAAAACAAACCCUCAUCAUUCUUCAGUUUUGAAGGGGAUGAAUGGGUGAAAAGCAUGUACAAAAGGAGACAAAUAGCUGAGAUCACAAUAGUGCUAGCUCCUUCUUCCGUUACUUGCUUCAUCAAAAAACAAGAAGCAAAACCUUAGGUUUUCUCACAGAAAACCACUGCAGAAUUUGUCUUACAUACAAUACUAAUAAUCUACAAGGGACAAAUGCAGCUUCCGGAUUUCCACAAAUCUCAAAACCACUUUGUGUUUUUCUUUUGCUUUAUGUGUAUAUAUAUACAUUCAGUGUUAGGGUCCAAAGCAUAGUCCUCCAUACCUAAGAAACCAAAAAAAAAAACCCCGGAAACAGAAAAAAGCAGAGUGCUCUGCUGACUUAACUGAAGAUGUGUGCAACAAGAGGAGCUUGGAUCGCAGCGGUUAGUGUUGGAGCUGUUGAGGCUUUGCAAGAUCAAGGCUUCUGCAGAUGGAGUUACACCAUGAGGUCUUUGAUCCAGCAUGCCAAGAACAAUAUGAGAUCAUUCUUACAAGCCAAGGAACUCUCUUCUUCUUCUUCUUCUGCUAUGGUUUUGAACAAAAUGAAUUCUGAACAGAAGAACCAAGCUGAGAAUUCUCUAAGAAAAGUCAUGUACUUGAGCUGUUGGGGUCCUUAUUGAAAUCCCUCCAAUAUUAUAGGUAGUUGAGGAUGUACCACUUAGAUUUUAUUUUUGAAACUGAGUUUAAGCUGUAUAUACAUGAUUUGAAUGUAUAUUUUCCCAACCCAACAACAAGAAAAUCCCAGAUUUUGAUUUUUAUCAAUGAACAUGAACGUUGGUUCUAUUUUUCAGUCAAACAACUAACCAGUUGAAAUUAUCACAAAGCCAAAAACAAAGAACCGACUAGUUGGAAUUCAUAUCAGUUAAGUGCAACAAGAACACAAUCUCAUCCUAUUGAUCAUCGUUGACAAAAUUCAAGUACAAAAGUAAUGUAAAAAUCCAAAGGGUUCAUUUAGAUCAAAAUCUUGGAGCAUUACGUUUUUCAAAUAUAAAAUGAACACACACCAGACACGUCGAUAUUCCAUCUUAUUAGUCAUCUAAUUCGUCAACUAUAUAUGACACUUUUAUCACAAACUAACCAACUAACUCUUAAUUUAGUGAUAUUUCAUUUAAAAGAAAGAAAGAGAAUCCUCAUUAAUUUAGUAUGUUAUGUUUCUUCUUCAUCAAAUACCAAUUGAUACUCAAUCGACAUACAUCGACGUGUGACAAUCAUGUGAACUCUAACAUGAUCACUUCUCCAAUAAGAGUGAUGGAAAUUUAGAGGAAACAUUCUAGUUUUUGGGGGGCAGCAGAUGUUAGGGACACUCAUACGUCCAUCCACGUGUAAGAAUCAUGUGAGCUCCAAGGAAGUUGAGGUUCUACUCCAAACUUAAUUCGGAGGAAGUAGUCCAACUCCUUAUAAGUAGUUGCUAGAUUUCUCAUCCAUCCAAUGUAAGACAUUUUCAUUUCACAUUUUCACAAUUGCACUUGCAGUUGCACGUGAACAUUGACCAAAAAAAGAGAGUAAACUACCGGUUUCACUCCUAGACUGCUACUACUAGCCCACAGUCCAAAAUAAAGUGACAAGAGACUCUGUUUCUGUCUUUUGGUCCACACUCCAAAUCAAACAAGCAAACAAAUGGUUUCACUCCCAUACUGCGGGCCUAGAUACAAUAAUUUAAAUCAAAACCAUGUGCUCAUGAGGCAACAAAACUCGGUGCUUAUCCAAACUCCAAAAUCUUAAAUUCCACUUUUACCCCUGCCCAGUACAUCAUAUCCCCUGCAUCUGCAUGUACAAAACAGUAAUAUCCCCAAAUAUAGUGUAAACAUCCACAUACCUUACCAAAACAAACAGAAGAAAACAAAACCAGCUCUGGUUUUUUGCCACAAGCCCACCUUUUUUUAAAAAAGAAAUCCCCCAUAUAAGGAGCACCUCAAGAUAAUCUUCUCCAUCAAUACACUCAAACAUUCACAUUCACAUUCACAACUGAGAAGUUCAAAGCAUCAAAGAGAGGUCAGUAAGGAAGAGAAAAUAAAUCGUAAUCGUGAUGAGUUCAUCAAGUGCAAGCAAGGCUAUUGUGGCAGCAAGUGUUGGAGUUGUGGAGGCAUUGAAGGACCAAGGGAUAUGCAGAUGGAACUCUGCUUUAAGAUCUGUGCACCAGCAAGCCAAAACCCAACUCAGGUCAUGUUCUCAGGCCAACAACAAGCUCUCAUCUUCUUCUGCUUCAGCUGCUUUCAGUAAAGUCAGAGAUGAGAAGCUGAAGAAAUCAGAGGAGUCUUUGAGGACAGUCAUGUACUUGAGCUGCUGGGGUCCCAACUAAUUCAAUCAGCACCGAAACAAGCGCAAAAAGAUCACAUUUCUGUUGAGGCUUUGAAAGAUAAAGGCUUCUGCAGAUGGAGUUGCACCACCAUGAGGUCUGUGCACCAGCAUGCCAAGAACAAUAUGAGUUCUUUCUUACAAACCAAGGAACUCUCUUCUUCUUCUGCUAUGGUGUUGAACAAAAUGAAUUCUGAAGAGAAGAAUCAAUCAAGCUGAGUAUUCUCUAAGAAAAGUCAUGUACUUGAGCUGUUGGGGUGUUUAUUGACACAAAUUGGAGCUCAUGGUGAAGUCCCUCAAGAUUUGAAGAUUUUUGAGACUGAAUUGAAGCUGUAUACAUUAUUUGAAUGUAAAUUUUCCCAAUCAACCAAAAAAACAAGAAAAUCUAUGUUCUUUGGUUUUUAUGAAUGAACAUUGGAUCUAUUAAUUAGACAAUUCUCGACCAGGUUAACCUUAGCUUACUGUAUCAUUGGUACUUAUUUGGAAUUCUAAUUCAAUACAUGUUGGUUUUAUUAAUGGUUCCUCCUUCAAACAGAGAUGCUUUUGGUUCUAUUUUUCAGUCAAUCAACUAACCAGAUGAGGUUAUCACAAAACAAAAAACAGAGAACAAACCAGUUGAAAUUUAUCAGUUAGGGGCAACAAGAACACACAAGGUUAUCUCAUCAUAUUGAUCAUUGUUGGCAAAAUAAAAAGGCAGACGGUUCAUUUCGAUCAACCAAAACUUUAAAAACUAACUCUUAAUAUAGUGAUAUCUCACUUAGAAUGAAGAAAGAGAAUCCUCAUUAACUUUACAAAGGGUCAUGAAGCGUUUAACAAAAGGCCUUGACUAAGUGAAGAAAGAGAAUCCUCUCCAACUUUACAAUGGGUCAUGAAGCGUUUAACAAAAGGCCUUGUCAUUUUGGUCAAGGUCCACAGAGUCUUGUUCAGUGGAAAAGACAAAAGGACCUGAGUCUUGUUAAGCGGAAAAUUACCUGACUUACAGACUAAUUGUCCCAAUUUCAAACUUCUCUGAUACAGCUGACAAUGUGUGUAGGAGAACACCUCCCUCCGGCAAUAUCACUUGUAUAAAAAAGGCCUUAUGAUGUGUUCAAAUCCGACUCAUAGCUUGUGCAAGCAAGGCGAUGACAUAGGCCCCCAAAUAUUUGAGGCUCCAAUUUUUUUUCUAGCCCACUUCUAUAAGAAACCCAAAAUAUCCCUUUAUUUUAAGUUGGAUCUUUAUGCAAGCUUUGGAAUUUGAAGGCAUGAUUAUAAGAAAUUUAUAAAAUCAGGUGAAUUCCUUAUUUAAAAAAUAAAUAAAUAAAUCUAAUGUGAAUGAAUUUUGUAGUUUAAAUUAUGAUUUAUAGAUUUACCCUUAAAGUUUUCCCUUAAAAAUUCACCAUGAAUGAGAAAAUAAUGUUGUGUUGUUCAUAACUUUGUCAUUAACAUUUUUUUCUUCUCUGAGAAUAUCAUAACUAGGGUGUACUUAGGGCCAUGUUGGCAUUGCUGUGCUGUGAAAAUAAUAACUAUCAGAUUUGCUAUGAGAGAAAUCAAAUAUGAGAGAGAAAACAGUUUGGCGUUUGGUAAACUUUUUAUUAAAAAUGUUGUUGGUACUGAUUCCCAUUUAAACCAACGCUUUUUCGAAACUGAUUACAGCCUAAUCAAAAAAUGAAAGCACCUCAUUAACUGUUUUUCCUUGUAGCUUUCUUUCACUGCAAUUUUUAAUAAUAAGUGAUUUUCUCAUAGUUUACCAAACAUGCUGGGCUUUUCAAUUUUUUUUUAAAAAUCACUUAUUAUCACAAAUAAGUAAUGUCAAAUGAGCACUUAGAUAAUUUUAUAUUUUAAUUUAAAUAUUUGGGUAUAUUCAGUUAUUUUCAGAGUUUGUUUAAUAACACCCUUAAUUUAUAAUGUAAUGGUAUCGUACGACUUUGAUUAGAUGAGAUAUAAAAGGUUACCAAAUUGUUGAUUCCCUUUAUUAUAAUAUAGUAUUUGUUUGAAUUUCUUUAUGUUCCUGUUGGGGCAUUGAGCACCAAAGUAUGAUGGGAAAAUUAUAGAAUGGUCUCAAAAGGAUGGACUUCUAGGAGCAAAUUCCUGGCCAUUGAACUUUUUGUAUGGUUAACUUUAAAAAGCUCGUUUGGACCCAUUUCAAUUUAAUAAUAGAAUAUUUAAAUAAACAUAAAAUUUCCAACAUUCAUGAAGUUAAUUGAGUAUGAAAUAUUAUUACAUAACAUAGUUUAAAUAUAUUGCAAUAAACGUGAUCAUCAACUGAGAUGCAAGCACGACAUAUAUGAGCUGCUGGUGGGGCCGCCUUGCCCAGAGGAUCGGGAGCUGCACUGUCUGUUACGGUGGUGCUCCAUGGCAUCGAUAAGAUUCAGGACCGGGUAAUGCACUGCUAAGAUCAGCUCCUCUCUCUUCUGUUGCGGUGGUGAGGCAUGACAUUGACGACCGGGGAAUGCAUAGGUAGGAUGAGUUGUUGUCCUGUUGAUGUCGGGCUGGAGCUAUUGGGCUAUCAGGAAGAGUUGGAGCUACUGGGCUACCGAGUCAGGUGGAGCUAUUAGACUACCAGGUAAAGAAACCUCUUAUGAAAAUAUAGCCCUUGAGACAGGUGGAGAAUCAAAGAUCAGUUAAGGGGAGAACGAAGAAAACACCAUGCAACAAUAACAAAAAUGACCUAGCCACUUAACUUGAACACAGGGAUCAGGCAUAAGAGCAUUUGCCGGAUGCCAAGCACACGAAUGCUCUAAGAACACAUUAAAUCAACAUCAAUAUCAUAUCAAUGUAUCCUGUGAAUGGAAAUACAAGCAGAUUAGUAAAUCAACAUGCGACGGGCAUUAUUCGAUAAAUACAACAUGCAGUAAAGAGACCAAAUGCUGGAACUAGAAAUAAUUUUCAAAAUAAUUUUCCUUUUAGAACGAGUACUGCAGACAUUCAUGAACUGCUAUGGCACAGAUGCAGAAGCCCAGGCUUGUAUAUACCCCCACACCCAAGCAUGCAUUCAUACACUUAAUCAAAAGUAAUAUAUUGACUUAAAAAAAUAUAUUAAUAACCACUGGCCAUCAUACCAAUAAGACGUAAACAUGACAUUGAAACAAAACCAGUGAAAAGGUAUGACUAUCAUUUUCUCACCCAGAGGGGCAGAUUCAUGUCAAUCUGCCAAUUUAGAGUAAUGUGAAAGCAAAAUCCGAAAACACUCAUCUACAUACAAACCGAUCAGGCCAAUGAUCAAUGUAAUCUGUCUGCAAUCCGAAAACACUUGAGCUGCAUCUAAACAUUACAUAACUCAUCACUCAGCACAGCAUAACACGAAGAGUUUAAACAGAAGCAAAAUUACAAACUGUUUGCGCUGUUUGCUUUACCAAACCUGCCGUCAAUGGCCUCGGUGAUAUUCUUAGCAUUCAAACUCUUGGGGACAUCUCGUAUCCAAGUCAUCUUCCCAGACGGUACGUGUAAUAUCAGAACAAAUUUUCACACAUCAGAAGUGAAAACCAAGCUGGCACACCAUUGUUAGCAUGAACUGAUACUCUCAUAGCUACUUUACAACCUUGGUGGCCAAAACGACGCUCCUCGCUCCUCCCCUGACCCUGAGUCUGGGCUCGCUGAACCACUGGAUACAUUUCUGUAGAGUCGAAUAAAUUGAUGCCGGACAGGAAAGCUUGGUCGAGGAGGCCAUACGACUCCGAAAACGUGUUUUGCUUGCCGAAAGUCAUCGUCCCUGCGUGAAGAAUGAAUUUUUAUUUGAGGAUGAGAGGGAGGGCCAAAGAAUCAGACUCAGAGUCGGUAAGAUUGGGGGCGAGGUUGAAGAGAGGCACUGCCAUUGCUUCGCUUGAGAAGCUUUUUGAGUUUGUCAACUGUGAGUGGAAUGGGAAGGAGAAAAAUCAAAGUAUAUGCUAUAUCGGCGCAAGUUUGGCGGAUUUUCAGGGGUUGGAUAAGAUAAAAACAUAACCGAGUUACUAUCUAUGUGUUCGAAAAAUCGUCCAACAAAUAAAUAAUAAAAUAAAAUAUAAAAAUCCGCCUAGGCGGGCUAGGCGGGUUGGGUCCUUUUUUUCUUUUUUUUCCUGACUUUAAAUAAAACCUAGUCUUGGAGGGAUAUGGAGAGGAGGAAGAGUUAGAUUUAGAGGCCGAGCUUUGAAUCAAUGCCUGUUGAAGCAGAUGCAUCAGUUUGGAGAGCCUUGCUCAAUGCUUGUCGACUUCAUUCUGCCACGAAGUUAGCUGGAACCAUAUUUGAAAAACUUGUUGAAUUAGAAUCGAUGAAUGCGGGGAAUUAUGUUCUGAUACCUAAUAGAGAUAUUUAGUAAUAUACCAAUUCUUAACACUAAUAUUAUAAAUAAACUCUAUAUCAUUGAAAUUCUAUAAACAAACCCCAAAAAAAAACAAAAAAUAACAGCUGGCCUUAUUGAAUUUAAUAUUGAUGAUUAAAUUACUUUGAUGCCCUAUUGAGUGUUUUGGGUAUUUUUAUGAGAUUUUGGGGUUGAGCUUGUUUUAAGAAAUUGAUGAUAGUUUUGUAAUUUAUAAGAAGUUCAAAGCCUCUUUGUUAUGUUGUAAAUGAGUUUUGGGUGUGUUGCUAAAGUCCAUUUCAUAUGAGGUAUUUUUAUAAUUUGGGCCCCUAUAUUGAGUAUAAUAGUAAAUCUCCCUAUCUAAUAUAUAUGCUGCAGCAGGUCUAUGGAUGGAGGUCAGGCAGAUAAGAACACGGCUCAGGGAAAAGGGUUAGAAAAGCCUCCUGGAGUAAGUUGGAUUGUUGUUAAAAGCCAGGUCCAUUGUUUCGUUGCCGGAGACACAUCACACCUUCAAUCAGACAUAAUUAAUUUAUGCAAGUUUAAAUUCUCUGUCAACCUUGAUCAAAGAAAGCCGAUACAUUCCUGAUCUUUGAUUGGUUUUGCGUGACGAAGAGGGUUAGGUUGAAAGUGGGGUCAUAAUCUUCAGUUUUGCAUACUGCUGAGGGUUGGGAACCUUUUAAUGAUCACUAAGGACUCAAAAAGGCUUUGUGAUGGGUUCCAUUGAUUAAUGUGUCUGUCAUUGUUGGAAGGGAAGAACAUGAAGAAUUUUGUAUCAUUUUAGGUCCCUGACCGGAUUCUUUUUUAGGCUUGAUAAACAAUUCCAUCGUGUAUAUUUGUAUUGAGAGUCUCUGACAUACAUGAAAGAAAGCUUCCAGAUAUAGUUUCUCAAAAGAAUGAAAGCAUCAAUUUCAAAAGAUGGAGAAGGAGAGUCAAUUUAAGAAGUUUGGUUAUUGAGUUUCAGACCAAAUUGUACACUGCUAGAAAUAUUGAACUGUAUAUACAAUUCACAAUGGCUCCAAGCCCAUAUGGAUUUAUAGUUACCUCAGGCAGAGCAUAAUUGUAAUUUUUUUUUUUCGAGAGAAAUUAUUUGAGUCAAAGGCUAAUUCUUAUAGCAAUGAUGCCACAAAUCUCACAAAAAAACGCCAGUCUAUCUCACUCUGCAAAGAUAAUUACUAAACCAAAAUUAUCAUUACGAUUAUGUAUUCAGCCAAAAUUUUCGAAGUUUGUGUUUACAACAGUUUGCCCCCCAAAUUUUAACAAGCAACUCUAAAAUUCUUGAGAGGCAGAUCAAUUGUUUCCUCUCCCUUUACCAAUCUUCUUCGGCAACAGGGUGAUGAAUGUUUCGCAAAACACUGCCCUUACCAAUAGUAACAAUACCAAUUCAAGACUUGGAUUUAGGGUUUGGAGGCUAAAAUCCAUUUUUAGAAUACAAAAAUAAUUUUCUAGGAUUUUUAAAUAAUUGAAACUAUUUUAAAAUUUCACAAAAUUAUUUAAGAUAAUUAAAUAUAUUUAAUUACUAUUUAUGAAGUAAAUUAAAUAUUUAAAUACUAAUUAUUCACUAAAUAAAUAGUAAUUAAAAGAUAAUAUAUUUAAAGAGUAUAGCCGGGCGGCUAUACUUUUUAAAUAUUCGAAUAUAUUAAAGGAGUAGAGCCGCGCGGCUAUACUCUUUAAAUAUAUUGGAAUAUUUAAAAGGUACAGCUGAACGCUAUACGCUGUAAAUAUAUUGGAAUAUUUAAAAGGUAUAGCCGCGCGGCUAUACUCGUUAAAUAUAUUCGAAUAUUUAAAAGGUAUAACCGAGCGGCUAUACUCUUUAAAUAUAUGAUGUUUUAAUUAUUUUUUAUUUACUGAAGAAUUAGUAUUUAAAUAUUUUAAUUAAUUUCAGAAACUACUUCAUAACUAGUAAUUAAUUUUGUGGAAUUUAAAAUUAUUUAAAAAUCCUAGAAAAUUAUUUUAGUAUUCUAAGUUCCUACAUAUCAAAAGAUGAGAUGAACAAUUUGAAAAUUGACCUCUAAAAAGAUUCAACCGAGCAUCUGCAGGACCCCCAUUAAGUCUCCAAACCAGAGUCCUAACGUGGACAAGAACAUGAAGAAAGAAACUAUAAAGAAUUGGAGGGAGAGGUGUCGAACCUAUUGCAAGAGAUACUGGAUGAACAGUACUUCCCUGCAAUAUCAAUGUAUCCUGUGAAUGGAAAUACAAGCAGAUUAGUAAAUCAACAUGCGACGGGGAUUAUUUGAUAAAUACAACAUGCAGUAAAGAGACCAAAUGCUGGAACUAGUGCUGCAGAAAUUCAUGAACUGCUAUGGCACAGAUGGAGAAGCCCAGGCUUGUAUAUACCCCCACACCCAAGCAUGCAUGCAUACACUUAAUCUAAAGUAAUAUAUUGCCUUAAAAAAAAAAUUUAAUAACCACUGAGGCAUCAUACCAAUAAGAUGUAAACAUGAAAAGGUGUGACUAUCAUUUUCUCACCCAGAGGGUUAGAUUCAUGUCAAUCUGCCAAUUUAGAGUAAUGUGCAAGCAAAAUCCGAAAACACUUAUCUACAUACAAACCGAGCAGGCCAAUGAUCAAUGUAAUCUGUUUGCAAUCGCCUUAAGCUGCAUUUAAACAUUACAUAAAUCAUCACUGAGCAUAGCAUAACACGAAGCGUUUAAACAGAAGAAAAAUUACAAACUGUUUGCUUUAGCAAACCUGCCGACAUUGGCCUUGGUAAUAUUCUUAGCAUUCGAACACUUGGGACCAUCUCGUAUCCAAGUCAUCUAAACAGACGGUACCUGUAAUAUCAGAACAAAUUUGCACACAUCAGAAGUGAAAACCAAGCUGGCACAAAAUUGUUAGCAUGAACUGAUACUCUCAUAGCUACUUAACAACCUUGGUGGCCAAAACGACGCUCCUCGCUCCUCCCCUGACCUGAGUCUGGGUUCGCUGAACCACUGGAUACAUUUCUGUAAAGUCGAAGAAAUUGAUGCCGGACAGGAAAGCUUGGUCGAGGAGGCCAAACGACUCCAGAAACGUGAUUUGCUCGCCGAAAGUCAUCGUCCCUGCAAAGAAUGAAUUUAUAUUUGAGAAUGAGAGGGAGGGCCAAAGAAUCAGACUCAGAGUCGGUAAGAUUGGGGGUGAGGUUGAAGGGAGGCACCGCCAUUGCUUCGCCUGGGAAGCCCCUUGAGUUUGUCAACUAAGUGGAACGGGAAGGAGAAAAAUCCAAGUAUCUGCUAUAUCGGCGCAAGUUCGGUGAAUUUUCAAGGGUUGGAUAAGAUAAAAACAGAACCGAGUUACUAUCUCUGUGUUCGAAAAAUCGUCCAACAAAUAAAUUUAAAAUAAAAUAAAAUUUCCGCCUAGGCUGGUUGGGUCCUUUUUAUUUUUUUAUUAUUGUUUUUUUGCCUGACUUUAAAUAAGGGCUCGUUUAAAGUCUAACUAUUCCUCCUCCUCUCCAUAUCCCUCCAAGACUAGAGGCCUAGCGUUUCAUUUCAAGUAUUUUUCUUUGUAGUAACUUUUUCCCAUGUUUUAUAUCAAUUAUGUUUUUUUUUAUAAUUUCUAUAUCCUUUUAUUUUGCAUGAUUUCGGUAUAAAAUUAUAAUUUAUAAUACAAAAUAAUUAAUUUCUUUUUUAAAACGCCUAAGCCAGAUUACUCUUCUAGCUGCUAGGCCCCUGCUACUGCCUUGCGAUUUUUCGAACAUUGAUAUCUACAUCUAUAAAAUUCCUCAUUGCACCACAUAAUUGAUACAAAAUAUUUAUUUACUAAAAACCACCCUCAAAUCAAAUUAUUUUUACAUUGACAACUACUUCCUGCUGAUAAUUGAUACAAAUAUUUAUUUACUAGCAUUACCAUUUCCCCUAAAUAAACAAUCUUUAUUACUUUUUCAGAAACAAUUAAAAUAACAUUCAAGAAACAAGAAAAACUAGAGAAAGGAGGUGCACUUAGGGGGAUCUCACAAAACCUUGCCUUGAAAAUUCCAAUAGAGGAAAAUUCAAUCAAGGAAAAAGAGUAUCACACACCUCCCUCAAAAACACUAAGCAUCUUCUCUAUUCGCCACCAGCGUAAACCAACCCAAAACAAUCGCCACCGUUCACGUAAACCGAAGUGAACCAAAAGGUGUGCGGCUUCAUUCCCUUUGCGAGGUUGAUAAAACACUUCACGCACUUGUAAAUGCACCAAUAAAUUCCUCACAUCUUCAACCAGAUUGCCUAGAUUGCUCCAACAUUCGCCAAAUCCAAUAACAAGCGACACUGCCUCUUGAGAAUCAGAAGCCAAAAGAAAAUUUUGGUAACCUCUCCACAAAGCCAUUAACAAACCUUCUAGCAUCGCAGCAAGUUCGGUUCCCAGAACAUCAAGUCCAACAUGUCCAUCACAUGCAAAACCGAAAUAAAACUCACCAUCAUGGUCCAUUUCCCCUUAUUCAUAUCUUAUUAAACUAUUUUCUAUUAAUUUUGGCCAAGAAAAACUAUUUUCCAUUAAUACACUCUUUUAACUUGCUUUCUUUUCCAUUUCCCAAAAUUAAAAGUGGAUUUAGAACGUUUGUAAUAACAAAAUAAGUGAUAAGAGGGCAACUAAUUAUUGUUUAGUUCACAAUUUAAUGUUAGAAAAUCCAUCAAAUCAUUUUGGUAACACUGAAUUAGAUCUUCAAACAUCUAUAAUUUUGAUCUAGAAACCUCAACAUUUUCAUUUUACUUUUCAUUUUCUGAGUAUGACAUCCGUUUAUUUGAAGGGCUAAAAUAAGAGAAUCGAUUUCAUAUAUCUUUAUAUUUUCAGUUUGAUUUCUCAACCGAUAAAUGAUCUUGCAUAACAUAGCAUGUAGAAAUCUUCAGAAAACUUAUGGCACAUUGUACUAUGUGUCUUUAAGUGGGUUCUUUCAAAUUGCAGCAUCCCAACAUGUCCAUGUGUGCCAACUGCUUAAUGAUCCAAUUCCUCUCCAGCAUAAUUAUAUAUACGCACACGUUGGAGUAUUUUUGUUAACUUAUUUCGUGGCUUUUGGGUUAACGUUAAACGGGGUUUUGGCUAAAUAUGUGUCUCUUGAUUGGAGUAAUGGCUACUAGCUUUUAGAUUUCAAAAGUAGUGAAGAUAGAUGAGUUUUGUCAAAAUUAUGGGAUCAUCAAGUGGUAAUUCAGGGUCUAAUUAAUUCAUUUUCAUUCUAAAUUAUGUAGGGGGACGAUGAUGAUUGAUUUUAACAGCAAAAAAGAGUGAUUCAUCACCGCAACUUGAGUAGCCUCUAGUAUAGGACUAAAGCUAGGGGCGGAGCUAUUCAUAGGCCUGAGAUGGCCUGGGCCUCCUUACCAUCUUCUCACCUCUUUAACUGUAUAAAGAGCACAACAUAGAUUGCAAAAAAAAAUCCCAUAGAUUUAAGCUUGUGGCCCCCCCAACAUCAAACUCUACCUCCGCCACUGACUAAAGCAGUCAUUUGAAAAUUGAAAAUGAGCAAUAUUUGGAAAAAGAAAUAGAUGAAUGAUCAAAAUAUCCCUUCCAAAAGUUGCACAAAAAAUCCAUACUAAAAAAAGUGUAGAACAAAAACAAGUUGGUAAGAGGAUGACACAAAUGUAGCUAGUAGCACGAAAUGGAUCGUACGUAUCAGGAGACAAAAAUACACCCUCAUCAUCCUUCAGUUUUGAAGGGAAGCAAAUUAAUAAAGACAUAGAGCAGCAGAGAAGGGAUGAAUGGGUGAAAAGCAUGUACAAAAGGAGACAAAUAGCUGAGAUCACAAUAGUGCUAGCUCCUUCUUCCGUUACUUGCUUCAUCAAAAAACAAGAUGCAAAACCUCAGGUUUUCUCACAGAAAACCACUGCAGAAUUUUUCUUAUAUAUAAUAAUAAUAAUCUACAAGGGACAAAUGCAGCUUCCGGAUUUCCACAAAUCUCAAAACCACUUUGCCUUUUUCUUUUGCUUUAUGUGUAUAUAUACACAUUUAGUGUUAGGGUCCAAAGCAUAGUCCUCCAUACACAAGAAAACAAAAAAAUAAAAAUCCCCCAGAAACAGAAAAAAGCAGAGUGCUCUGCUGAAUUAACUGAAGAUGUGUGCAACAAGAGGAGCUUGGAUCGCAGCGGUUAGUGUUGGAGCUGUUGAGGCUUUGAAAGAUCAAGGCUUCUGCAGAUGGAGUUAUACCAUGAGGUCUUUGUGUAAAAUAGGUAUGAAAAGAUAUUUGACCAGAAUAAUCUUAUUGAUCAUUGAUAUAUGUUUAUAUAAUACAUUCCGUAGGUUUUCCCUAUAAGUAAGCUAACUAGCUAGGAAAGAAUAUAUACGGGAAUCAAAUAAUAUAACAUUCCUAUUCUAUUAUACAAUCCCUAAACUGAAGGGUAAUCUUUGAUUCUCAACACUCCCCCUCAAGUUGGAGAGUGGAUGUCAAGAACUCCCAACUUGCGUGACAUACGAGCGAAAUCAUCUUUGCCCAAUGCUUUGGUGAAGAUGUCUGCUAUUUGCUGGGAAGAAGCAACAUGCUUUGUCGUUACAGAACCAUCUUGGAUUUUGUCUCUAAUAAAAUGACAAUCCAUUUCAAUGUGUCGUGUUCGCUCAUGGAAAACAGGAUUUGCUGCUAUAUGUAACGCAGCUUGGUUGUCGCAAUGAAGUAUCGCUGCCUUCCGAUGUGGCAACUGAAGAUCUCGUAACAAACUACGCAACCAAGUCAGUUCACAACAAGCACCAGUCAUAGCUCUGUAUUCUGCUUCUGCUGAAGAAAGUGAAACAGUUUUCUGUCUCUUUGAUCUCCAAGAAAUCAAGGAGUUUCCGAGAAAAACACAAUAUCCAGUGGUAGAUCUUCUGGUGGUUGGACAACCUCCCCAGUCAGAAUCACAAUAAGCUCGCAAUUUUAAGUCAUUUUGAGCUGGAAAAAAUAAACCUUGUCCUGGAGUGUUUUUGAGGUACUUCAAGAUGCGCAACGCCACCUCCAUAUGAGGUUUACGUGGCUCAUGCAUAAAUCUACUGAGCACAUGCACUGCAUAUGUAAUGUCUGGUCUCGUGAUGGUCAAGUAAAUCAAACGACCCACUAACCUCCUGUACUUGGCUGGAUCUUUAAGCAAUUCACCUGUGUCAGAUAAUUUCAAAUUUUGUUCCAUGGGAAAUAAGACAGGUCGUACCCCAAGAAAACCACUAUCUUUAAGGAUGUCAAUGGUGUAUUUCCUCUGAGAGAUGCUAAUGCCUUUCUUUGAACGCGAAACUUCAAUACCCAAAAAGAAUUUAAGGUCACCGAGAUCCUUAAUGCGGAAGCGGGUAUGAAGAAAACGUUUAAGAGAAUUAAUGGCACCCAAGUUAUUUCCUGUGAUCAAUAUAUCGUCAACAUAAAUCAAGAGAGCAAUGAAUGACUUUCCUCUGUUGCACGUGAAUAAGGAAUAGUCUGCUUUGGACUGAGUAAAACCAGCAGCUUGAAUAGCUUCAGAAAAUUUUGCAAACCACUGACGAGAAGCUUGUUUUAGGCCAUAUAAAGACUUGUGGAGGCGACAUACCAGAUUCUCCCCCUGUCGCUGAAGACCAGGCGGUGGUGUCAUAUAAAUCUCUUCAUGGAGAUCCCCAUGAAGGAAGGCAUUAUGGACAUCUAAUUGAUGAAGGGGCCAAGAGGAAGCAGCAGCAAGUGCAAGAAGGCUGCGAACAGUAACCAUCUUGGCGGUAGGAGAAAAAGUAUCAUGAAAAUCAACACCCUCUGUCUGUGUAUAACCCUUGGCGACUAACCGAGCUUUGUACCGUUCAAUAGAUCCAUCAGAAUGAUGUUUGAUCUUGUAGACCCACCGACAACCAAUAGGGUGCUUGCCAGGAGGAAGAGGAGUAAGAGUCCAUGUAUGAUUGGUCUCUAAAGCUUGAAGUUCAGAGCGCAUGGCUUGCUGCCAGUUAGGAUCAGAAUUGGCCUCAGAGAAGGAACGGGGCUCCACACUGUGACUGAUGUGAGUAAUGAAAGCAAGAUGUGCUGGUGUAUAUCUGUGAUAAGAAAUAAAGUUGCUCAAGGGAUAACGAGUACCUGAGGUGCGAUGUGAAGACGAAGACUCCGAUUGGACAUCGUUGGGUAGCGUGACUUGAGAGCAAACAUAGUCUUGGAGGCGCACAUUCGGAACCUUGUGACGUUCAGAUUGGCGAGUGGGUUGAACGGGUGGUGCCGGUGAAGGUGGUGCAGUAGGCGGAAGAGAAGAUGGGAUUGCAAGAGGAUCUGGUGCUGGAAGAGGAAGAUCUGCAGAAGGAGGCGCAAAAGGAGUGGAACUCAUUGGACUAAUAGGCAAAGUGUGCUCCGUGGGUUCAGGAGCUAGAUUGGAAUUUUGUGGUGGAGAUGAGUCAUGGGCUGAAAUGGGUAAAGGAAGGCUAGUGUUUGGGAUGGUGGUGGGACCAGCUGUUGGAGUAGAAAAAGGGAAGACAUCUUCCUUAAAUAAAACAUCUCGGCUAGUGAAUAUUUUUUGAGUGGACAAAUCAUAGAGUUUAUAUGCCUUUUGACCAAGUGGGUACCCAAUAAAAAUGGAUUUAAUUGCUCGAGAAUCAAACUUUUUGGUAGGGUGGACUAUAGUAGCAUAUGCAAGGCAGCCAAAUACUCUUAAAUGUGAAUAUGAUGGGGUUUUGUGAUAUAAACGUUCAAAAGGGGUUUGUUUGGAAAGAACUAAAGUGGGAAAUCGAUUAAUCAAAUGAACGGCAGUGAGAAUGCAGUCCCCCCAAAAACGGAGAGGCAAGUGUGCUUGAAAUCGCAAAGCACGUGCGGUCUCAAGAAUAUGACGGUGCUUACGUUCGACAACACCAUUUUGUUGGGGUGUGUAGAUGCAAGAAUGUUGAUAAAUGAUGCCUUGUUCUUUAAAAAAAUCUCGCAAUGAAGAAAAUUCACCCCCAUUAUCUACCCUAAUUGCUUGGAUUGUAGCAGUGAAUUGGGUCUGAACCAUGGAAAAAAAAGAUUUUAGAAUCCCUUGUGUUUCAUGCUUAUGAUGCAUAAGGAAAACCCAGGUAAAGCGAGAAUAAUCAUCCACUAUAGUUAAAAAAUAACGACCCCCAGAAAGGGAAGGAACUUUGUGAGGUCCCCAAAUAUCACAAUGAAUAAGGGAAAAAGGUUUUGAAGUUGAAAUUGAACUAAUGCCAAAAGGAAGGCGAGUUUGUUUAGAAAAAUGGCAAGCAUCACAAACAUUAUGGAAAGAAAAUGAACAAUUCAAAUGUUUUGCUAAAAAUUGUAAACGAGAGGAUGAAAUAUGCCCUAAACGGCGAUGCCAUAAAUCUCCAGGAGUUGUAACCAGGUGACAGGAAGGUUGGAUGGUGGAUGGUGUUCUGUCAGACGCCAACGCCACAAGGUAGUAGAGCCCAUCACGCUCCUUACCCAAACCAAUCAUCGUCCUCGUCUUCAAAUCCUGUAAAAUACACCAAGUGGGAAAGAAAAUUACUGAGCAUUGUAAUCCUUUCGUAAGUCGACUUACGGACAUCAGAUUAACUUUAAAUGUAGGCACACAUAGCACAUCUCGUAAAUAAAAAUAUGAGUUCAAAGGAAGAGUCCCAGUAGAUGCAAUUGGCGCUGUUUCUCCACUAGGCAUAGUGACUGGCAACAUAGAGGAAGUAUUCAUCCUCUUGGUAAGGAAUUUCGAAUCUGAUGUAAUAUGAUGAGUUGCUCCACUAUCAAUUAUCCAAUGUAAAUUGGGUAACAAUUCGGAAAUACCUGAAGAAGCUGAGGCGGUAUUGGCUUGUGGUGCAAUGUGGGAUGGAUUAGUGUUGUCACUCAUCAUCGCAUGAAUUUUCUUACAUUGAUCCUCGGAUAAAGAUGGCAUAGCUGUGUGAAUCUCCUGCAAGGAUGGACCAUUGGAUGCCACAUUAUUGGCGGAACUGCUGCUACCUUUCCCUUUACCUUUCCCGGAUUUGUGAAGCCUGUGUCCAGGGGGAUAGCCAUGUAGCUUGUAGCACUUGUCCACUGUAUGGUGAUCCUGAUCGCAAUGGCUGCAGUGAAGAGGUUUGCGCCCAGAAGAAUUUGAACGCUGAUUGUUUCGAACUGCCAUAGCUGCUGGUUCGGUGAUUGCUUGGCUGGAACCUAAGUCACGCUGCUUUUCUUCUUGGGUGAUCAAAGAAUAAGCCUUGCGAACCUUAGGGAGAGGCUGCAUAAGAAGUAUUUGGCCUCGAAUGGCGCUGUAGGACUCAUUAAGCCCCAUAAGGAACUGCAUCAACGAGUUUCGUUCCUCCUGUUCGACAUGCUUCUUCAUGGCACCGCAAGAACAAGCUGGGACGUCGCUGUAAGAAGACAGCUCGUCCCACAGACUCUUCAUCUUGGUAUAAUAAACAGCAACAGACAUCUGCUCCUGUGAGAGGGAAGCUAUGGUGCGUUGUAUCUCGAAAAUACGAGGAGCGUUAAGUUGGGAAAAACGUUCUUUAAGGUCCUCCCAAAUCUCUUGUGCGGUGGAGGAGUAUAACACGCUUUCUGCAAUAUCUGGUUCUAUCGAAUUGAGCAGCCAAGAUAAAACCAUGUCGUUGCAACGCUGCCAAACCUCAAAAGUCUCAGGAUUAGUUUUCUCCGAAGGGACUUUGAUUGUCCCAUUCACGAACCCCAAUUUGUUCUUCGCGCUUAGGGAGAUGCGCAUAGAGCGGCACCAUGUCGCAUAAUUGUUUCCAUUAAGGAUUUUGGAAACAAGAACCAUUCCAGGAUGAUCAGAAUGGUGAAUGAAAAAGGGAUCGGAAGCAUCGUUUUUGCUUCCCGAUGCAGCGGAUUCUUGGUCUUUGGUCAUGGUGGCAGCGUCAAGGAGAGGAUGAAAAUUAAGGUUGAAAGGUGACUAUUUGACAAGUGCGGCUAGAGCCAAGAGCUAGAGUUUCCUCUGCUCUGAUACCAUGUAAAAUAGGUAUGAAAAGAUAUUUGACCAGAAUAAUCUUAUUGAUCAUUGAUAUAUGUUUAUAUAAUACAUUCCGUAGGUUUUCCCUAUAAGUAAGCUAACUAGCUAGGAAAGAAUAUAUACGGGAAUCAAAUAAUAUAACAUUCCUAUUCUAUUAUACAAUCCCUAAACUGAAGGGUAAUCUUUGAUUCUCAACACUUUGAUCCAGCAUGCCAAGAACAAUAUGAGAUCAUUCUUACAAGCCAAGGAACUCUCUUCUUCUUCUUCUGCUAUGGUUUUGAACAAAAUGAAUUCUGAACAGAAGAACCAAGCUGAGGAUUCUCUAAGAAAAGUCAUGUACUUGAGCUGUUGGGGUCCUUAUUGAAAUCCCUCCAACAUUAUAGGUAGUUGAGGAUGUACCACUUAGAUUUUAUUUUUGAAACUGAGUUUAAGCUGUAUAUACAUGAUUUGAAUGUAUAUUUUCCCAACCCAACAACAAGAAAAUCCCAGAUUUUGAUGUUUACCAAUGAACAUGAACGUUGGUUUUUCAGUCAAACAACUAACCAGUUGAAAUUAUCACAAAGCCAAAAACAAAGAACCAACUAGUUGAAAUUUAUAUCAGUUAGGUGCAACAAGAACACAAUCUCAUCCUAUUGAUCAUCGUUGACAAAAUUCAAGUACAAAAGUAAUGUAAAAAUCCGAAGGGUUCGUUUAGAUCAAAAUCUUAGAGCAUUACGUUUUUCAAAUAUAAAAUGAACACACACCAGACAUGUUGAUAUUCCAUCUUAUUAGUCAUCUAAUUCAUCAACUAUAUAUGACGCUUUUAUCACAAACUAAAUAACUAACUCUUAAUUUAAUGAUAUUUCAUUUAAAAAAAAGAAAGAGAAUCCUCAUUAAUUUAGUAUAUUAUGUUUCUUCUUCAUCAAAUACCAAUUGAUACUCAAUCGACAUACAUCCAUGUGUGACAAUCAUGUGAACUCUAAUAUGAUCACUUCUCCAACAAGAGUGAUGGAAAUUUAGAGGAAACAUUCUAGUUUUUUUGGGGCAGCAGAUGUUAGGGACACUCAUCCGUUCAUCCAUGUGUGAGAAUAAUAUGAGCUCCAAAGAAGUUGAAGUUCCACUCAAAAUUAAUUUGAAAAAAAUAAUCCAACUUUUUAUGAAUUGUUACUAAAAUAUUCAACCAUUCAAUAUGAGACAUUUUCAUUUUCGCAUUUUCACAGUUACAUUUUCAACUAGCACGCAAACAAGUAAACUACUGGUUUCACUCCCAGACUGCUACUACUAGCCCACAGUCCAAAAUAAAGUGACGAGAGACUGUUUCUGUCUUUUGGCCCACACUUCAGAUCAAACAAGCAAACAAAUGGUUUCACUCCCAUACUUCCUAAAUACAAUAAUUUAAAUCAAAACCAUGUGCCCAUGAGGCAACAAAACUCUGUGCUUAUCCAAACUCCAGAAUAUUAAAUUCCACUUUUACCCCUGCCUAGUACAUCAUAUUGCCUCCAUCCGCAUGUACAAAACAGUAAUAUCUCCAAAUAUAGUGUAACAUCCACAUACCUUACCAAAAGAAACAGAAGAAAACAAAACCAGCUCUGGUUUCUUGCCACAAGCCCACCUUUUAAAAAAAAAAUUCCCCUAUAUGGGGAGCACCUCAAGAUCAUCUUCUCCAUCAAUACACUCAAACAUUCACAUUCACAUUCACUACUGAAGAGAAGAAAUCAUAAUCGUGAUGAGUUCAUCAAGUGCAAGCAAGGCUAUUGUGGCAGCAAGUGUUGGAAUUGUGGAGGCAUUGAAGGACCAAGGGAUAUGCAGGUGGAACUCUGCUUUAAGAUCUGUGCACCAGCAAGCCAAAACCCAACUCAGGUCAUUGUCUCAGGCCAACAACAAGCUCUCAUCUUCUUCUGCUUCAGCUGCUUUCAGUAAAGUCAGAGAUGAGAAGCUGAAGAAAUCAGAGGAGUCUUUGAGGACAGUCAUGUACUUGAGCUGCUGGGGUCCCAACUAAUUCAAUCAGCACAGAGACAGAGAGCAAAAAGAUCAGAAUUUUGCGCAAGAGGUUGCUGAAAUGAAGCUUGGGCAUGAACAUAAGGAUGAAACAAGAUUACACAACCCAUGAAAGGGCUCCUUGAGUUUUAUAUAUAUCAAAUGAUCAGGAUAUGUAAACUUGUUGGGUUACAUACUACUGGCAAAGGCAAUCGUUGUAAAUGGCAGACAGUUCAUUCAUGUCUGCUUGCUUGCUUGGGGCAAGUUGAUGUAAAUUACCACAUAAUGCAAAAGCACACAUAUUUCUGAGCAAUUGAUGCCUUGAUCAUUCUUUUCGAGUUUUUCUUUUUGCCCUUUCUUAUUAAUCCAUUAUUUACUUCGUUUUAACUGAAGGAUUUAUGAUACUAUAAAUUUGAGUAUUUAGUAGUGAAACAUAAUUGAGUUGCCCUAAUUGGGUAAAAUCCAUUGUGUUGAAUGGUUUCUUUCUCCAACAAAAGCUAUAGCCCAACACAUCCCAUGGUUUUUCCCACAUUUUAUGGGGUUUCCUUCCUCCUAUUCAUCCUCUGCUUUCGUUUCAAGUAAGCUCAGCUGCUGAGGUCCCGGUUGAAUAUUAAUUCAGCUUGUUUGUUAGAUCCCCUGAAUUCUCUAUGAUAUAUACAAUUGAUUAUUCUAUGCACCAGAAACUUAAACAUUAAUCAAGCUACUUAUUAAUGUUUAAGUUUUUAUGCUAACACACAUUUUAUAUCAAAUGAGUGUUGUUGGUGCUCUCAGAAAUGGUGAGAGGUACCUCUUCUUUUUGUAUUUUUGUUCACCACUCUUAAUUAGCGAUGAGUAAUACCAUCACGUUAAUUAUUGUGCAAGAAAUUCAUGUAAUUGUCGUGGAGGAAAUUCAUGUAAUAUGUAGAUUAAAUCAUACUCAUCAAAUGAAAAUUAACCUAAUUAUAAUGCUCACUAUUUCUUUAAUGAUAUGUCAACACAUAGUAGACUCAUGCCUAUAAUUAGUCGAAGCAAAUAGAGAGAAGGAAAGACACUAUAAUGUUUGUUUUUCCGCCCACGGUCCACACCAGACCAAGUAAACAAAUAGUUUCACUCCUACAUUGUGUUUGAAAUAGAUGCGCAAGAGGCAGUAAAUAGAAUCAAUUCUGACAAAGAGUGUUUUGAAGCAGAAGAGAACUUGGUGGAAGAUAUUAAGGAGAUGCGGUUGUGGUUUAGAUCUUUCUCGUGUGAACAGCAGUGAUGGGAUGGUAAUGUAGUUGCUCCUGAGCUAGCCCAAUAUGCUAUUAGAAACACAAACAUGGAUUGAGGAGAAGCCUCCUUGGUUGAGUUCUUUGCUUGCUGCAGAUUUAAGAGCUACUGGUUGAUUUAUAUAUUCGACAUCAAGUGGGAGGCCUUUUUUUACCUUUGGCGGAUUUUCCUCUUUUUUGGGGUUUUUUUAUGCCAACGAUUUUUUACAAAGGCCCAAACUGUUAACGUGAGUUAACCUACUAAAUCAAGGAGAUUUAUUUCCUAAGUUAAUUAGGUGAUUUACUUCAUUGUUUUAUAUAAUUGACACAUCCUUGUAUAAUUAGGAGAUAUUCUCCUAAUUAAUUACUGUAUCUAUUUCUUUAUGAAGUACCCUUGUAAAGUCCUAUAUAUACCUCCUUAUGGAGAAGAAUACAAUUAACCUAAAGUAUUCAAACCAUAUUCAUAUUUUAGCAUGGUAUAAGAGCAAUCUAUCCUAGGUUGUCUCUAAGCCCUCAAAUCAUACCCUCAAAUUCAAACCCAAACCCUAAAUCAAAUUCCUUACCUCCCAAAUCAAAUCCUCUUAUCAAACUCCUUAAACACAUACCUCUCAAAUCAAAUUCCUAAAUCAAAUUCAUACAUCAAAUUCCUCAAAUCAAAAUCCUCAAAUUCUCAAAUAAACUCCUUAACCACAAACACACACUCAUAUCAAAUGUUACUUCUGCUGCAAUGCCAGGACCCCCUACGAUUCUCUCCCUUCUUGCAAACUCACAGAAGCAUGCGAUCAAUCGUGUUAAACUGGCUACCCAGGCUCGUGCUUCUAUCACUACCACCAAAGGUUCUGCUUUUCAUAUGUCCUCUCCAAAGCCCACAUGAAUUAUUGACUUGGGUGCUAUGUAUCACAUGACAUUUGAUCCUGGCCAACUUAUUAGUCGCAAACCAUCCACUCAGUCGGUAGUGUCUAAUGCUAAUGGUAUCCUCUCCCAUGUGGUUGGAGAUGACUCUCUAUCUCUCUCUAACUCCAUACAUAUGGAUUCUGUAUUGAUUGUCCCAUUCUUGGACCAUAACUUGUUGUAUGUUGCACAACUUACUACUACUUUGAGGUGUAUUGUAAUAUUUUGGACAAAUCAUUGUGUUUUUCAGAACAUUCUCACGAGGAAGACGAUUGGUUGUGAUACUAGGUGGGGCAAACUCUACUACUUGGACUAGGCAUCGGAUAGUGAGACCAAGGUUGGUCAAGCUUUCACAACAAGUGGAGCUAGUUCUGAGAGGCAAAGAGACAAAGUUUGGUUAUGGCAUAAAUGUCUUGGGCAUGCCUCAUUUGGUUAUCUAAAGAAGCUGUUUCCAUCAUUAUUUUUCAGUUUUGAUGUUUCUAGCUUCCAGUGUGAUACGUAUGAAUUAGUUAAGAGCCAUCGUGUUCCUUUCCCAUUAAGUACAAAUAAAAGUUUGGUUCCAUUCUUCCUUAUUCAUUAUGAUGUUUGAGGGCUUGCUUAAAUCACUACUCCGGUUGGAGCUUGAUGGUUUGUCACCAUCACUGCGCACGAAUGACUUGGGUUCUCCUUCUCAAAACCAAAGGGGAAGUCAGUUUAACAUUUCAAUAGUUCUAUAAAAUAGUGGCAACUCAGUUUCAUGCCAAAAUCCAGGUUUUCCAUUUUGACGAUGGCGGCAAAUUUCUUAAUUAUAAUCUCAACAAAUUUUUACAAGAUCAUGGCAUCAUACAUCAACGCUCGUGUUCAUAUACUCCCCAACAAAAUGGGGUGGUUGAGCAAAAGAACCAACAUUGAUUGGAAGUCGUUCGUGCAUCUUUAUUUGAUACCAACAUGCCUCGGAAGAACCAACAUGUGAACCCUAAACCCUAACAUGAUCACUUCGCCAAUAAGAGUGAUGGAAAUUUGGAGGAAGCAUUCUUUUUUUUGGGGGGGGAGUGGGGGGGGGGGGGGGGGGGGGGGGGGGCGGCGGGCGCAAAUGUUAGAGACACUUGUCCAUCCAUCCACAUGUGAGCUUUACAUAAUUGUUGGAGGAAGUUGAGAUUUCAUUCCAAAAUUAAUUGGUAAUGGGGCAAGUAGUCCAACUUCACGCAAUUUCUCAACUAUCCAAUGUGAUAUAUAAUCAUGUGAGCUUUACGUAAUUAUUGAAGGAAGUUGCGAUUUCACUCCAAAAUUAAUUAGUAAUGGAGAAAAUAGUUCAACUUCAUACAAUUGAUCAACUAUCCAAUAUGAGACAUUUUCACUACUACAAACAAGUAAACUACUGGCCAGAAGCUGCUACCAAAAUAAAGUGACGAUACGAGAGACUCUGUUUCUGUCUUUUGGUCCGCUCUCCAAAUCAAACAAGCAAACAAAUGGUUUCACUCCAAUACGGCGGGCCUAAAUACAAUAAUUUAAAUCAAAACCAUGUGCCCAUGAGGCAACAAAAAUUCUGUGCUUAUCCAAACUCCAAAAUAUUAAAUUCCACUUUUACCCCUGCCUAGUACAUCAUAUUCCCUGCAUCUGCAUGUACAAAACAGUAAUAUCUCCAAAUAUAGUGUAAAACAUCCACAUACCUUACCAAAAGAAACAGGAGAAAAACAAAACCAGCUCUGGUUUUUCGCCACAAGCCCACCUUUUUUUAUUAGAAAUCCCCUAUAAAAAGAGCACCUCAAGAUCAUUUUAUCCAUCAGUACACUCAAACAUUCACAUUCACAACUGAGAAGUUCAAAGCAUCAAAGAGAGAUCAGUAAGGAAGAGAAAAGAAAUCAUAAUCGUGAUGAGUUCAUCAAGUGCAAGCAAGGCUAUUGUGGCAGCAAGUGUUGGAGUUGUGGAGGCAUUGAAGGACCAAGGGAUAUGCAGAUGGAGCUCUGCUUUAAGAUCUGUGCACCAGCAAGCCAAAACCCAACUCAGGUCAUUUUCUCAGGCCAACAACAAGCUCUCAUCUUCUUCUGCUUCAGCUGCUUUCAGUAAAGUCAAAGAUGAGAAGCUGAAGAAAUCAGAGGAGUCUUUGAGGACAGUCAUGUACUUGAGCUGCUGGGGUCCCAACUAAUUCAAUCAGCACAGAAACAAGCGCAAAAAGAUCACAUUUCUGUUGAGGCUUUGAAAGAUCAAGGCUUCUGCAGAUGGAGUUGCACCACCAUGAGGUCUGUGCACCAGCAUGCCAAGAACAAUAUGAGUUCUUUCUUACAAACCAAGGAACUCUCUUCUUCUUCUUCUUCUGCUAUGGUUUGAACAAAAUGAAUUCUGAAGAGAAGAAUCAAUUAAGAAAAGUCAUGUACUUGAGCUGUUGGGGUCUUUAUUGACACAAAUUGGAGCUCAUGGUGAAGUCCCUCAAGAUUUGAAGAUUUUUGAGACUGAAUUGAAGCUGUGUACAUUAUUUGAAUGUAAAUUUUCCCAAUCAACCAAAAAAACAAGAAAAUUUAUGUUCUUUGGUUUUUAUCAAUGAACAUUGGAUCUAUUAAUUAGACAAUUCUCGACCAGGUUAACCUUAGCUUACUGUAUCAUUGGUACUUAUUUGGAAUUCUAAUUCAAUACAUGUUGGUUUUAUUAAUGGUUCCUCCUUCAAAUAGAGAUGCUUUUGGUUCUAUUUUUCAGUCAAUCAACUAACCAGAUGAGAUUAUCACAAAACAAAAAACAGAGAACAAACCAGUUGAAAUUUAUUAGUUAGGGGCAACAAGAACACACAAGGUUAUCUCAUCCUAUUGAUCAUUGUUUGCAAAAUAAAAAGGCAGACGGUUCAUUUCGAUCAACCAAAACUUUAAAAACUAACUCUUAAUAUAGUGAUGUGAAAACUAACUCUUAAUAUAGUGAUAUUUCACUUAGAAUGAAGAAAGAGAAUCCUCAUUUACUUUACAAAGGGUUAUGAAGCGUUUAACAAAAGGCCUUGUCAUUUGGUCAAGGUCAACACAGUCUUGUUUAGUGGAAAAGAACCAUAAUCUUGUUCAGUGGAAAAGGACCAGAGUCUUGUUUAGUGGAAAAGGUCACUGAACAAGGAUCUGAGUCUUGUUUAGUGGAAAAGGACCAGAGUCUUGUUAGUAUUGUUAAAUGGAAAAAUGACCUGACUUACAGGCUAAUUGUCCCAAUUUCAAACUUCUAUGAUACAGUUGACAAUAUGUGUAGGAGAACACCUCCCUCCGGCAAUAUCACUUAUAUAAAACAAGCCUUAUGAUGUGUUUAAGUCCGGCUCAUAGUUUGUGCAGGCUGGACGAUGGCACAGGGCCCCCAAAUAUUUGAGGCUCCAAUUUUUUUUCUAGCCCACUUCUAAAAGAAACCCAAAAAAACCCUUCAUUUAUCUACAGUUUAAUUUUUUAAAAUAAACCCUUUAUUCCUUUUGACAAUAAGACCAAAGAAAGGAAAAUAGGGAGCCUUUUGACUAAAGAAAACGGGCCCCCCUGUUUUCAAUUUCCUAACCCAACAAUUUUAAGUUUGUUGUAAAGUUUAGAGUGGAGACUAGGGCUGGGCACGGUUCGGUUUGGACCGGUUUCGGGGAAAAAAUAGAACCUGAUCCGAUAGUGCAGACCGGUUCAGUUUGGACCGGUUCUGCUCAACAUCCAUACAGAAAUCCGAACCAAACCAGACCUGUCCGAUUCCGGUUCGGUUCCUGCGGUUCCGGUUUUUUUUUAUUUUAUUAUUUUUUUAUAAUUUAAAAUUUAACAAAUCUGCCCAAAAUGUAUUUAUAUACUAACAUACCCCAAAUUUGAGGUUCCAUCAAGCUUUCAACACAUCAAAAUGAAUCCAACUUCAACAAAAAUACAAUCCAAAUUCAAAUGAAUCCAACUUAAACAAAAAUUCAAUCCAAAUUCAAUCCAACUUCAACAUCAUCAAAAUGAAUCCAACUUCAACAAAAAUACAAUCCAAAUUCAAAUGAAUCCAACUUCAACAAAAAUUCAAUCCAACUUCAACAUCAUCAAAAUGAAUCCAACUUCAACAAAAAUACAAUCCAAAUUCAAUCCAACUUCAACAUAUAAAUUACAACCCAAAUUAAAUCAAACUUCAACAAAAUAAGUUCCAAAAUAAAUUACUAGCCAAAUACAACCCAAAUUCAACCAAAUAUACAUUACAACCCAAAUUAAAUUCCUCCUAACAUUGGAAAGUAGUUGGAGCUAUGGUGCUAGGUGUGGAUGAACUCAUAAUAUCUACAUAAAAAAAAUCAAAGGAUCAACAUACUCACAUUAACACUUUGAUUUACAACCCACUUCCACUUGUUGGGUUUGUUAAACCAAUAUAUCCAUUUCUUAGGACAAUUCUAUCUCUUAGGAAAGCCUCUGAUCAUGAUUCUGCUCUGGACUAAUAAAAAAAAUCAAAGACUUCCAUUAAAAACAGAAACUUCAGUUUUGUUAAACAAUUUAGGCAGGAACACUUUGCCUUUGGGAAAUCAUUAAAAAUCCAUUUUGAUUCAAAAUGGUGUGAACAUUUCCAGAUCACACGUAGACAUAUAAAACUUCAACAUAUCAAAAGUUCAUCGAAUUCCGAGUUAAGGAAGCCAGUCAAAGACUAAAUCCAAAAUAGACUAGGCUGCAGAGUUUUCUAUUUUCUGCAGAAUAAUGCCAACUUCGAAAAUUUGCCAAAUUGAAUUGGAUUAGUACAAUUGUAAAAAAUAAACAAUUGCAUUAAUAAAUUUGCCAAAUAAAUCUACUAAAUUAUAAACUGUUUCCAAACCAAAGAGUACAUUAAGUCUUGCAGUAAAAAAAGUCUGGUAGAGUUGUAUAUAUCAAUGUCAUGUAUAUGUAGGAAAAGGAAAUUACCUAAUUUCUCAGUGUGGCGAACAUCAUCAACCAGCAAAACUCUGUAACUAUCCCUACUCCCAAUACCUCUCUUGUCCUUGAGUCGUCCAAUAUCUCCUCCUGUAAUUUCAACAUUAAAUAAGGCAGAAGAAUAGUACAGUACAAUGCUACAUUGCAAUUGGGUUUUCUAAUAUGUUUUUCUCCCCCUUUUCAUAACAAAUCUCAACUAUUGAAUACAAAACAAAAAUCCCAGAUGAGAAAAAUCAAGACAGUUGAAGGAUAAAUGAUAAAGUAGGUACCUUGUUCAAGCUGGGUAGCAGGGUCAAAUUGGGAUUGGUCAAACUUUGGGCGCUCCAAGACCCCAGCACCACCCUUGGAAGACCUAAACCUGGCCUUCACAGCCAUGCCAGAGAGAGUCAGAAAAUUGAAUUGGGGAAAGAAAAAAAAAAGGAGAGAGAUAGAGAGAGAAUCUGACCUGCAAUGCAACGACUGAGAGGCUAAGAGAAGAGCGGCGGCAGAGAGGGGUGUGACUGUGACGUGCUGGUUGAGAGAGAGGUUUGGAAUCGGUGGCUGGUGGCUGGCUGGCGGCUGGCUGAGUGAGUAUGAAACUAAAUGGGAAGGAGAGGAAAGAACGAAGAAUGAAAAAACCCAAUCUGAAUUUGGUGUAAUCCUGUGUGUGCGCUACCUAUGGUAGCAGCAUACACAACCAAUCAAAAUUUGACAGGUAUGAAAAUAUAUAUAAUUUCAAAUAUAAAUAUAUAUAAUAUUUAAAAAAUAUAUAAAUUAAUUCUAUUGGACCGGUUCGGAUUGGACCGGUUCCUUAGGAUGGAAAACCGGAACCGGAACCGGUCUGAACCGGUUCGGUUUGGAUUUUUCUCGAUUUUUGACUUUUUUGGUCAACACGGUUUUUUUCGGUUUUUUCCGGAUUGGUUUGGUUCGGUUUUGCGGUUUUGCGGUUCAAAUGCCCACCCCUAGUGGAGACCACAUAUUUAGAAAAAAUGAAGCAUGUCAUGAUGAAGGUGUUGAAGAAUUGGAUCCACAUAUUAGAAGGAAUGAUUACAUAUCCAUGUGAAGUUAUCAACUUUGCCUGUAAACGGGCUUCAUCCUUCCCUUGCAUGAGACUACAAUUAGAGAAGGAAGAGAGAGAGCUCGGAGAGAAAGAAGAGAAGGAAAGAAAGAGGGUGAGUGAGCGGAGAGAAAAAUGAGAGCAGUGAGAAAUUCUCCAAGAGAGAAAAAAAUCAGUGAGCCACAUAUAUUGUAAAUAUUAAAGUUGUAACCCUAUUAUUUGAUAUAGUGGAAAAGUUAUAACUGCUGCUCUUCGAGGACGUAGACAAGGCCGAACCUCGUUAAAUGUUGUGUCUCAUCUACUUUACUUUAUCUCACAUAUUCCAGUUAUUUAAUAACAAAGUUGGAUGUUUUAUGCAAGCUUUGGAAUUUGAAGGCAUGAUUAUAAGAAAUUUAUAAAAUCAGGUGAAUUCCUAAUUUUUUUUAAUUUUUUAUCUAAUGUGAAUGAAUUUUGUACUUUAAAUUAUGACUUUUAGAUUUACCCUUAAAUUUUUCCCUUAAAAAUCCACUAUGAAUGAGAAAAUAAUAUUGUUUUGUUCAUAACUUUGUCAUUAACAUUUUUUCUUCUAUGAGAAUAUCAUAACAUUUUGUACUUGUAUAUAAAAGGCCUCAAUAUCACUCGUUAUACAGAGCCUCCAAAAUCAAUAAACCGCCGGGAUGUAUUUCUUACUAAUUGAUACUCAACCGAUGUGCAUCUACCUGUGACAAUCAUGUGACUGUUCUGUCGUUUGGCCCACACUCCAAAUUAAACAGGCAAACAAAUGGUUUGACUCCCACACCGCAGGCUAAAAUACAAUAAUUCAAAUCAAAACCAUGACCCAUGAGGCAGCAAAACGUUGUGCUUAUCUGAAUAUCCCAAUCCAUCUGCACGUACACAACAGUGAUAUCCCAAUCCAGACAUACUUCUGGAAACAGAAGAAAACAAAACCAGCUCUGUUUUUUUGGUUACAAGCACACCGUUUUUUCUUUUUAUAAUCUCGUAUAUAAAGAGAGAGUAAAAUUUUCGAAACAAUACCCUUAUUUCCAUGUCUUCCAGCUACUUUAUCACCUACUUUGAUUUCACGUUACUCAUUAUCAUCUUCUCCAUCAAUAAUACACUCAAAACAUUCACAUUCACAGCUGAGGAGUUCAAAAGAUUUAAGAGAGAAAUAGUAGAGAGGAGAAAAGAAAUCAUAAUCAUGAUGUCAAGUACAAGUGUUGGAGUGGAGGCAUUGAAGGAUCAAGGGAUAUGCAGAUGGAACUCUGCUCUAAGAUCUGUGCACCAACAAGCCAAAACCCAACUCAGGUCAUUUUCUCAGCUCUCAUCUUCUUCUGCUUCAGCUGCUUUCAGUACAGCCGGAGACGAAAAGCUGAAGAAAUCAGAGGAGUCUUUGAGGACAGUCAUGUACUUGAGUUGCUGGGGUCCCAACUAAUUCAAUCAGCACAGAGACAAGAGCAAAGAUAUCAGAUUUUUGUGCAACCGGUUGCUGAACUGGAGCUUGGGCAUGAACAGAAGGAUGAAACAAGAUGACACAACCCAUGAAAGGGCUCCUGGAGUUUUAUAUAUAUCAAAUGAUCAGGAUAUAUAAACUUGUUGGGGUUACAUACUGGCAAGCAAUCGUUGUAAAUGGCAGAUAAUUCAUUCAUGUCUGCUUGCUUGCUUGGGACAAAUUUAUGUAAAUUAUGUUAUGACAAUUACCUAUAAAUUUGAGUAUUUAGCAGUGAAACAUAAUUGAGUUGCCCUAAUUGGGUAAAAUCCAUUGUCUUGAAUGGUUUCUUUCUCCAACAAAAGCUAUAGCCCAACACAUCCCAUGGUUUUUCCCACAUUUUUAUGGGUUUCCUUCCUCCUACAUUCAUCUCUGCUUUGGUUUCAAGUAAGCUCAGCUGCUGGGGUCCCGAUUGAAUAUUAAUUCAACCUUGUUUAUUUACAAAAUGACUGUGAAUUGUAUAUCCCUGAAUUCUCUAUGAUAUAUACAAUUGAUUAUUCUAUGCACCAGCAACUUAAACAUUAAUCAAGCUACUGUGGUUUUGGUCAGAACGAAAACAUUAAUUUUUAGUGUAAAAAGGUUUUAUGCCUACACACAUUUCAUAUUAAAUUGAGUGUUGAUGGUGCUCUCAAAAAUGGUGGCAGGUGCCGUAGGUACCUUCCUUUUUAUAUUUUUGUUCACCACUCUUAAUUGACGGUGAGCAAACCCAUCACGUUUAUUGUCGUGGAGGAAAUUCAUGUAAUAUGUAGAUUAAAUCAUAUUCAUCAAACAUGUAAUAUAUAGAUUAAAUUAUACUCAUUAAACAAUAAUUAACCUAAUUAUAAUGCUCACUAUUUCUUUAAUGACAUGUCAACACAUAGUAGACUCACGCCUAUAAUUAGCCAAAGCAAAUAGAGAGAAAGAAAGACACUAUUGUUAUACAACUAAAAUAAUCAGAGAGUAUGAGAAGUACCACUAAAUAUUGGGAGUAUAUUGGGAGUGGAAUUAUAUUUGCUCUUUGUGGUGUUUACACUGACAGAAUUUCUUCUCAGAUAGAACUCAUUCUCUCUUUUCUUCUCUGACUCUGACUCUCUUCUCUUCUAAUUGGUUGUGUAUUUUACAACUUAAAAGGAAGCCUAUUUAUAGGCAAUUAGAAUGGCCUCCCGUGGAUGCAUCUUCAACAUUUUCUCUCAACAUCAUCAUUCAUCCCAACAUCAUAAUUUCAUCUUUUGACUAAUACUCCCUUACUUUAUUCAUGUGGCCUUCACUUCUUACUUUAUAACAACUAUAAUGUUUGUUUUUCUGCCCACGGUCCACACCAAACCAAGUAAACAAAUAGUUCCACUCCUACACUGCGAGCCUAAAUACAUAUAAGUUUGCACAUAAUUUUGGGUUUCAAGACAUUGUGUUGGAAAUAGACGCGCAAGGGACAGUAGAUAAAAUCAAUUCUGACAAAGAGUUUUUUGAAGCAGAAGGAAACUUGGUGGAAGAUUAAAGAUGCGGUUGUAGUUUAGAUCUUUCUCGUGUGAAUGGCAAUGACGUGACAAUAAUGCAGUUGCUCAUGAGCUAGCCCAAUAUGCUAUUAGGAACACUGGUUUUUAUACAUGAAUUGAGGAGGAGCCUCCUUGAUUGAGUUCUUUACUUGCUGCAGAUUUAAAAGCAACUUGUUGAUUUAUGUAUUCAAUGUCAACUGGGAGGCGCUUUUUUUCUUGUGGCGAAUUUUCCUCCUUUUUGGGAGUUUUUUAGGCCAAAUAUUUUUGUACAGAGGCUCAAACUUGUACAUCCCUUUCCUUCUUUUUGUUGUAUUAUGUUGGUUGGUUAUUGAAUGAAGUCCAGUUAUCUCAAUGUAAAGAAAAAAGGGCAAAAAAAGAAAGCAAAGCAAAACCAUAUGCCCACGUGGCAGCAAAAUGUUGUGCUUGUCCAAAUUCUGAAAUCCCACUUCUACCCAUGUUUAAUUGAUCAUUUCUACUGCAUCUGGAUGUCCAGUUGAGUAAUAUCUGAACUCAUAGUGCAUCAUCCACAAGGUCCAAAAGAAACAAAAACCAUUGGCUUUUCUAUCCCAAAGAAAAAAGACCCAUUUGCUUUCACUGAGGAAACCGCCUCUAGUUUUUGGGGACGGACAAAAAAGCACACCGUUUCUAAUCCCCUAUAUAAAGAAGCACUCUUUGCUCAUCUACUUCAUCGGACACUUACACAUUCACAUACCAACUGAAGAGUUCAAAAAAAUCAAAGACAGAAAAAUCUAGUAGAUAAGAGAAGAUAAGAGAAAUCAUAAUCACGAUGAGUUCAUCAAGUGCAAGCAAGGCUAUUGUGGCAGCAAGUGUUGGAGUUGUGGAGGCACUGAAGGACCAAGGGAUCUGCAGAUGGAACUCUGCUUUAAGAUCUGUGCACCAACAAGCCAAAACCCAACUCAGGUCAUUUUCUCAUGCCAACAACAAGCUCUCAUCUUCUUCUGCCUCAGCUGCUUUGGGUAAAGUCAGAGAUGAAAAGCUGAAGAAAUCAGAGGAGUCUUUGAGGACAGUCAUGUACUUGAGCUGCUGGGGUCCCAACUAAUUCAAUCAACACAAAAACAAGAGCAAAAAUAUGACAUUUUUGUGCAAGCGGUUGCUGAAAUGGAGCUUGAGCUUGAACAAGGGAUGAAACAAGAUGACAACCCAUGAAGAGCUCCACCAAAUGAGGACAUAGUUAGAUAUUGGCAAUCGUUUUGUGCUUGUAAAUGGCAGACAAUUCACGUCUGCUUGGGGCAAAUUGAUGUAAAUUAUGUCAUAUUAAGACAAUUACCAUAUAAAACAUGUAUGUUUCUGAGAAUUGCUGCCUCGAUCAUUAUUUUGGUCUCUGUUUUUUUGUGUAUAUAUUUUGCCCAUUGUUUAUUUUGUCAUGAGUAGAAGAUUUAUCAACCCUACAGGUCUGAGUUGAAUUUGUUUAAUUUCAAAACAGUAUAUUUGAAGAAGGAAACGUUUUAUGGAAUUAGAAACAUCCCAAUCUGAAACUAGGACAGAAGAUUAGCCAUGAUGGCUCAGCCAAUACAUCUCAUGCUCUAUUGGAAAGGAAAAUACUUACUUCCCUUCCCUCCUACAGGUAAGGAUACAGCUACAGGUAAGGAUACAGGUAAUGAGUCAAAUGAGGCAAGUAGAAUCCUAUUGGAAAUAUGAAUUUAGAAUAUAAUAAUAUCAAUAUAGUAAUGGAUCUCCAAACCCAACUAUUUUCACCAGUAGUUUCCAAGAAGCAUUCUCCUUCUUAAAUAUUUCUUAACUCAAACCAAUUGGAGUGUCUCCAAAAAAAAAAAAAAAAAAGAAGAAGAAGAUAAUUUCCACUAGAAAACAAACAAAAACAAGUGGUCUUUCCUCCCAUACCUGAGGCUUAAAUGGAUUUUAUGAAGGAAAACCGUGUGCUGUGGUCCUACCCAACCCAAUUUUGUCUCCGUCAAUGAAUGUGACAAAUAGUUGACAGGAAAAAAAAUGAACGUGACCAAGUAGCCCAAUCUUGACUCACCGCUGAGGAAAAACCACUGGCUACCCCAGCAAAAACCUCUACAGCUAGAGCUAGCCCAUGGCUUUUUUUUCCCCACAUUUUAUGGGGCUUAGUUUUAGUGUCACUCUCCCUCCAUAUAAAAGCAACACCAACUCCCCAUUUACUUCAUCAAAAUUCAAACACAUCAAAACAUCAGUUUUACUUCCCAUCAAGUUUAAGAGUGUUCUUAUUAAGUUUACAGAAGAAGAUAUCAAUAUGAGCAGUUCAUCAUCACCAGCAGCAAGGAGAGGUUGGGUGGUGGCAGCAAGUGUUGGAGUUGUGGAGGCCUUGAAAGACCAAGGGAUCUGCAGGUGGAAUUAUACUAUGAGAUUAAUGCAGCAGCAUGCAAAGAGCCAACUUGGGUCUUUUUCUCAGGCUAACAAGCUCUCUUCCUCAUCCUCUGCUCUGGUUUCAAGCAAGCUUAGAGAUGAGAAGGUGAAGCAGUCUGAAGAGUCUCUCAGGAAAGUCAUGUACCUCAGCUGCUGGGGACCCAAUUGAUUUCAGCAACUACAUAAUUUGUAGCUGAAGAACAUGAUCAAUACAAUUUGGCACUGAAGGCAGGCUUGGAUUACAAAUUUUCAAGUUUUGAGGCAUGGGAUGAUGAUAGCUGGAAACAUGUGGUUAAGUUGACCAUGGUUGGUGUAGGAUUUGCAGCCUGAAGAAAUUUUGUUUGUUUACAAAAUUAUUGUAAAUUGUAAAUGUCUGAGUUCUCUAUGAUAUAUACAAUUAGUAUGAAAAUUGAUAUGUCAUCUGAUCAUUAGCCCUAACCAUUAAAAUCUAUAUCAUGUAUGGUCUGUUAAGGAAGGGAAGGGGUUUAAAUCAAAUUUUCUAUGCAGAUCCUACCAUUAUUUAGUACCAACUAGUAAAUAAUUUCGUCCAUAGCCAGAGAAAAUAGCGAAUGCAAUAAUGUACAUAGUUAGUAAAUAAAUCCUGAACUAUUUAAUUUUUAUAAAUAAAUUCAAAAAAUAUUUAAACAAUUAUGUUUUGUCGAGUGUUUUGGGUUUUUUUUUUAUGAGGUUUCGGAUUUGGUUUGUUUUAAGAAACAAAGGCAGUUUUGUAAUUUAUAGUAAGUUCAAAGCUUCUUUGUUAUAUUGUAAAUGGGUUUUCGGUGUGUUUCUAAAAUUCAUUUCAUGUAGUUUUUUUUAAUAGUUUGAGCUCCUAUAUUGGACAUAACAAUGAAUCCCCACCUUUUUUUUUUUUUAAUUAACUGGAAUGAUGACAAAUGCUUUAAAAGCAUAUAUUCUGUGGCCUUAAAAGCAUUAUUAUUUUGAAGAAACAAGGUGCGCACAAUGUCUUGUGUACCCCAGCAGAAAAGUUCAAACCAGAAAAUCCACUGGAUUUCCUUGGCUCAAAACCAGCAGCAACUGACGUAGUAGCCUCUGGUUUUUUCCCAAUAUUUUGGCCUUUUCUUUUUCUCAAUCAUGUAUCCAACUCAAGUCACUUAUUAUUUCCUUUCUAUAUAAAGAGACCCUCCAUGCCAAUUAUUUCAACUCAACCUUUCUCAAAAUUUGUUCUCUUGCAAAAGACCUAUCUUAUCAUAAUUUCAAUACAAAUUAAGGGGCUUACAUCCCAAGAAAAAGGAAAAUCAAGAUGAUGAGUGCAGCAACAGCAAGUAGGGCUUGGGUUGUGGCAGCCACAGUUGGAGUUGUGGAAGUGUUGAAAGACCAAGGGUUGUGCAGAUGGAACUAUCCCAUGAGACUGGUGCACCAGCAAGCCAAGAACCAUCUCAGGUCUUUUUCUCAGGCCAAGAAGCUGUCUUCUUCUUCUUCUGCCAUGGCUUCAAGCAUGAUCAUGAGAGAAGAGAAAAUAAAGCAGUCAGAGGAGUCUAUGAGGAAAGUGAUGUAUCUUAACUCUUGGGGUCCCAACUGACACCAACCAAAUUAAGCUUAGCUUAGCUUAAGGCCAUUGUAAAUUACUUUAAGGCAAAUGCUCUUACAAAUUUGGUAAAAUACAUUGGGCACUUAUGUUUUCCAAAUUCAGUUUUUCUUCUUGCUUGACUAAAGUGUUUAAUUUGGCACAGCUUCUUGGCCUUGGCCUAAUCCGAUCAUAAGAACAACACAACUUUAUUACUAAAUUAUUCACCCAAAGGAAAACUGAAACAAACUUUUCCCCAAAAAUUCUGGGCUGAAAAGAACAAAAUAGCCGCUGGUAUGGCCAAAAACCACAACCCCAGUGAAACCACCUCCACUCUCAUCACCCCCUUAGCUCUCUCUCUCUCUCUGCAUAUUUAUGGCUUCAGUUAGAUAGUCUCGAUGCUUAUAUAUGUCUAUCUCAAUACUCUCUCCAACUUACUGUAACAAAUUCUACUUUGUUCUUUAAAUUACUGGUAGUGGCCAUCAUUCAAAAGUUAAAAAAUGAGGUGGAAGAGCAAGGCUUGGGCUGUUUUGGGCACUGUUGUAGCUGUGGAGGAGUUGAAAGAAAAGAAUCUAAGCAAAUGGAGAUCCCUGCAGAGUUACCAACAUGCACUAAUUAACAACAUUGUGCCACUGUCUACACAAGUGGGAAAAUCUUCAUCUACAUCUUCAACAAUGGAGUCAAAGAAGAAAUAUUGCAAGCAGGGGACUCUGAAUCUGAAGCAAUCAGAAGAACCACUUAGACUAAUUAUGUACUUGAGCUGUUGGGGACCCAACUGAGCUGGAAAGAUAUGCUGCAUGCCCCUCCAUGUUUAUGAAAUCAUUACUAAGCAUUAUGUAUGUUUGUGUGUGUAUUUCAAGAUGUACACAUCCUGAUCUAUAAUCUUAUUAUCAUCAUAUCUUUGUAAGAACUUGUUCUAAAAAAAGAGGAAAUAAAAACUCUAUGCUUUUACUCUUAGGCCGUGUUUGGUGGGUUGAAUUAUAUGACAGAAUAUGAUUCAUAAUCUAGUAAAAUGUUUCCUAGACUAAAAACAAUCGAAUUGAAUUAUGUCCAAUCAAUUACUAUCCUGAAAUUAGAGCAUAUAAUUCAGUAGCUACUGUCAUAUGGUAGUGCUCUAAUCUCCAAGCAAUAAGCUCUUGGGUCCAUCAACUUAUUCUAGACUGUGGAACAAGAUACAAGGAACAGAAAGCAACUUUACGCAAAAGCUGUUUGAUUAUACCAUAGCAAGUUAGCAACUGUUGUUAUUGCCCCCAAAUCAAAUGAAAAAUGGUAUAUGUCAUUGUGUACGAAACAUGAUUUCAUUGAUUUGGGAUAUUGGAAAAGAUGAGAUGCCUUUCACAAGAGGGCCACAUGGGAGCAUCAGUGGUGGGUUUUCUGUGUCGUUAUCUUUCAUGGCACCACCAGAACAUGUUCUAAUGCUCUAAACAUCAUAGCCUAUUUUAAUUAUGAUGGCCUUAUGCCAUGCUCUCCUCUUUAAGCCUUUAUCAGAAUAAAAAUACAAGAAAGAAAAAAGGAAUCAUAAGAAGAUUUGAAAGAGAACUUUGAUUUGGUGCAAGUGUUAUCCGAAGCAAUAGUUCUUCCACCAAUGGGUAGCUAUAUUGUUGCUAUCUGUCAUUUUCUUUUGUUGUAAACCACUAUCAAGCUGUUAAUUAUUGUAAACCACUAAUCUACAGGAAGGGAUCCAGGUGAAAGGGGCGAGCUCACUAUUCUGGCCGACUAACCUAAUUCACGUCGAUUUUGUAGAUCUCUUUUAACGUUGAGAAUAAAAAUAUUAAUAGAUUAAGGGUUAAUUAGUCUAAAAUCCCGUAUUAUGUUUUUUUUUUUUUUUUGGGGGUCAAGAUAUAGUGCCAAUAUUUAGCCCAAAAGUUUCAAACUUGAAGCUCUCCUACCAACUGCCAGCCAACAUCAACAGGGAGAAUGAGUAAAAGUAACCACCGCCAAUUCCGACAAUCCAAAAAGUCCAGAGCGAAAGGUCUCAUUCAGCCGCAUAUGGCAUUGGCUAUCAUAAAGACCUUUCACAACCAGAGACACAACUAAAACACGCAUUGCACCAAAGCCUCAAUCUUUCAGCUUCAGCCUUCAAUUCGCACAAAACAAAAUCUCUCUUUUCACUUUUUUUCCAACUAUCUCCGGCGAAACCCAUUUUCCGGCUGCCACCGUGAAGCGAAUUUCCGGCGGGUGGGUCGAGAAUGGCUGUGGAAGCUGAGAAAUCUGGGCCUGAUGGGAAGCUGUGGAGUCUAUUCAAAAAUCCAUUUGGGCAGUCGAGAAAUGCCUCUUCCUCUUCUUCUUCUUCGUCGUCUUCGACCUUGUCUUCUAUGCACAAUGUUCAUCAGCUGGGUCAGACUCAUGAGUCUGUGGAGCGUGCGGCUCUUCAUUCUGCCAGUACGGUGUCGUAUGUGACCAAGUCUUUGCUUCCUGCUAGGAGGAGGCUCCGUCUUGAUCCUGCUAAUAAGCUCUUUUUUCCAUGUACGCCCCUUACCUUGUCUGCUUUAAUCAUCUUUGUUGUUUGUAUAAUGGUUUUGAUUUUGGUCAUCUAUUUCAUUUUCUGAGAAUUUUGAAGGUAAAGAGUGGAACUUUUGUUUCUUUUGGGGUGAGUAAUUAGUUGCAUGAUGUCUGUUUUUGAGCUUACACUGGUUUCAUUUGCCAAAUGGUUAUCUGGGUCUUCGACAUUUAGUACAUAGAGCUGCAUUCUUUGUUCUUUGAUUUGCUUAAGUUGCAUGAUCUUUUGAUUUCAUGAGUUAAAGACUUACAGUUGUUCCAAUUGUUAUGCUGAUCUGGUCGGUUCUUAUUGGUGUCUCUAUUUCUGAUAUUCUCUUUCUUUAGUUUGUUUCUGUUGCAUGAUGCAUCCAUUUGUCCAGUGUGGAGUGGUUUGAUUGAUCCUAAUAUGGGUUGUUCUUACAUUGUUAGCAUCACCCUGGAUUUCUUAUAAGAUGUUCACUCAGAUAAUAUUUGCUAAUCAUUAGAAAAGUGUAAUGCUUGCUCAAUUCCUUUGCCGAUUGAUGAUUCAAGCUAGUUAUGUUUUUCCUCACUCUCUGACUGUUUUCUCUGAAGAUGAACCUGGUAAGCAGGUGAAGAGUGCCAUUGGAAUUAAAAACACAAGCAAGUCUCAUGUAGCUUUCAAGGUAUCGAUUGACUCCUCGAGUCCCCUUUUUUGUUUUCCCCCUUAUUAAGUAUUUUACUUCUUUUACAUAUCAGAAACUAGUCAUAAACCAGUAUUGUGAUCAAAUUGGGACAACAUUUGAAUUGAAAAUUGGGGAUGACAGCAUUAGGAGUUUUCUGGUGUCAAUUUGAUCUGUUACGCUUAUUUCCCAACAGAACCAUCUAACUGCUUACAUGUUGGUUGUUUUUUUUUUGUUUAGUUCCAAACAACUGCACCAAAGAGUUGUUACAUGCGUCCUCCAGGGGGAAUACUUUCUCCGGGUGAAAGUCUUAUUGCAACUGGUAAUUCAUUCUUCAUGGUCUUCCCUCACGCACUCUUAUAGUCAUUUUUGGGUUAUUUUUCAUUUCCAUUUGCAAUAAAUAACAUGCUAGCUAUUUAGAUUUUAGUGAGUUAUCGUCUGAAAAUUGUAACUUGAUUGACAGUCUUCAAGUUUGUGGAACCUCCGGAGACCAAUGAAAAACUAGUAGACCAGAAGAGCAGGGUUAAGUUCAAGAUCAUGAGCUUGAAAGUGAAAGGAGAUAUGGACUACGUACCAGAACUGGUAUAAUUGCAGAUAUUUUGUAUAACUUCUACCGUAUCUUAAUACAUUGCUUUUCCACGAUAAUAGUUUUUUUUUAUUUUUCUAUGUAAAUGGAACCAAUAACUACUGGACUUUUACAUUCCCUCAAAAUAAGCAGAGAUAUUGUAAGUAGAAUUGAGAUAGCAGAACUGAGGUCAUUUUCUCUGUUAUCUGUAGCCUGCUGUGCCAAUAUAAUUAGUAAGUGAACGUUCAGAUGUCAUGUACUUCAUAGCAAAUGUUUGCAGAAAUUCUAAUUGGAACUUUCCUAUAAUUAGAACAUAUAUCUUCUACUCUGAAUCAGGUUGAUCUUACUAUAAAUCUCAUUGAUUCUUGAAAAGUUAUGUAUAUUUUUGUUUCUAUCACAAAUAGAAACCAGUAUGCAUCAUAAUUCCUAGAUAUUAAACAUUAACUGUUACAUGCAUUUAUGCAGUUUGAUGAGCAGAAGGACCAAGUUGUGGUUGAGCAGGUUUUGCGUGUUGUUUUCCUGGAUCCUGAACGCCCUACCCUUGUAAGUAGAUGGUGGAUACAUCUCUAACCUGUCAUUUUCCUGCCCUCUGCAUACUUUUUUUUAUUGUCUUAAUUUGGCCGCAGCAUUUUCACUUUCAAUUUGAUUUUUGUAAAGGCGAUGGAAAAACUUAAGCGGCAAUUGGCUGAGGCUGAGGCUGCCCUCGAAGCACGAAAGAAGCCUCCAGAAGAAACAGGGCCCCGAAUUGUAGGGGAAGGACUUGUCAUAGAUGAAUGGGUGAGGUGUUUGACAUGUUUUUGUUUCUUUUGAUAGAAUGAUGAUAUUGAGCUUUAUACAUUUCUUACUGUAAACAUUCUUACUUGUGGUAUGUAUGGUUUCCUUUGUAGAAAGAGCGCAGGGAAAGGUACCUAGCCCAGCAGCAGGUUGAAGGUGUUGAUUCGGUGUAGAGUUAUGUUCCUUUUUGUUUAGAUCAUUUCUUUCUCUAGUGUGGAAGUUUCUAUAUAUGAUUGAAUUGUCGCCUAUUCAUGUGUGGAAGACCGUUGAGCAAUCUUAAAGGUAAAUGGAAUGGAAGCAUGUUUCGUUGUGGAUAGAUGUUACAUUUUUGUUUCUUGUUUUGUUUAAUUUUUGCUUUGUCCUUUUUAUGAGAAAAAUUAGUCUGAAGUUCUGCUUCAGGUCUCCUAAUGUACUUGUAGAUAGCAUAAAUGACAAUAGUGAUUUUUUACAGAACUUAUAAUCUCUGUUCUAGCUGGCUGUUUUGGCUCACUUCUCUCUUGAGAUAUCCAACACAAACACCUCUCCAUACGGCUAAUUUACUUACCAUAAGUUUUCUUCAUGAAUUUUGUGUUCUUGUAGAAAUGUUUGAUGCAGUUUGGGUUGUUUUCUCACAUAGAAUGGAAUGGGGUUAUUCAAAGUUUUGAGAAGUUCGAUCGCUUAUCAAAUUUCAUCAGGCAUGCAGUAAUCAGGUUUUUUUAACAUUUGCAACUCCAAUAAUGAGAACUCUGAAGAAGUGGCAAGUUGUCAAAGGAACACGGUGAUAGUACUUAAAUUUCAAUAAUUUAAUUGAAUGGUCAAAUAAUAUCGGAUUGAAGUGAUUUUUUGUAGAAAUGAUCUUUGAAUGAAUAUCUACAAAAUAGACGGUUUGGAUUAGUGAAAUACUAUGCAGAGUGGGUCCUACAAGGGUAUUUCUCACAUAAGCUUAUUUGAAAAAUCCCUCAACGGAAGCUCUAUAUAUAUAUAUAUCCCCCUUUUCUUUGGUGAGUAUUACAAUUAUUUGCUCCAUGGAAGUGAUUAUAUGGAUUAUGGGUAAGUAGGCAGGUACAUAACAACUCUGCUGCCAUGCUGGCUUACACUUUACGGAGCAUGAUCUCUGUGUGUGUUUUGUCUGAAAGGAUCCUGAAUCAGAUUACUACAACUAUUAUUUGGUAUUAUUCAGAGUUGACAGCUUCAAACUGAGUUGAGAUGUCAAGAAUCUUGCUCCAUUUCUUAAUUAUGUAGAAUAAUGGAAACUGGAUUGAGAUCUGAGUAUAAUACUUAUUUUAUGGUCCACUAACAAUAAAUUAACAUGUUAACCAAAACUUAUCCAUCAAAUUAUAUGAAGAUAAAUAUUGGGGAACCUUGGCCAGGGCUUUUUAUACUGUGACAUCCAAUGGAAACACCAUUUCUUGGUAGCAGUAUAUUUGCUUAGCUUUUUGUCUGCACGUCUAUGAUCUUUGAGAUAUAAACAAAGAAAGAGAUUUAUAUUUCAGGCAUAAAGAAUAUGUGUGCAGUUACUCUAAUAAAAAAAUAUUAUAUGAUGUUGUGGAGAAUAAAGAGAAGAUCUUAUCAACUACUUUGUCAAUGCAUUGGAAUACAAGCCAAUGACACUGGAUGGAUACAGCUGCCUGUAAUUAUAAAUUAAUUUCCAACUAGGUCUAGUACAAUAGAAAAAUAACUUUAAUUUGCAUCUUAUAAGUCUUAUGUUCGAAUUCUCGUAACGUUUUAAUUGUAUGUAUAAGAAACCUUUAUUUCCUGUAAUUUAGACUGUAACUUGUAUUUAAAAAAAAAUCUCCAACCAAGUCGUAAUCCCACUUUUAUAAUAUAAUUAAUAAAAGAAUUGGAUAAAUACCUGCCUGUCUGUAAUUUCAAAUUAAAAAAGUAACACUAUCUACGCUCUUUAACCCUUUUUUGGAAGAUCUUUAAGUUCCGAUCCUACUGAAAUUUGUUUAUUAAUUCUUGCUAAAGCGUAAAUUAUGAAACCCACAGAGAAUUAAAAAUCCAUAAUCAGCAUUAGUGGAUUCGAGCCUUACUGUUUUGGUAUGCUGCACAUCGCCAUCUCAGAUUCUCAGUGUAAAAUAAAAUCUAUCACGGAAGUUCAAACAUACGAUACCAUAUGGUUUUUUAAUUUUUGUUUUUAGAUUCUCAUUUUUUUGGCUGAAGUCUGAAAGCGAUUAUUAUAAAAGCACUAUUUCUAUAUGUUCCGUUCCAGCUCUUACCCCCACUCUCUCUCUCUCUGAUAAUGACCCGGGCAUACUAUUAUUGCAACUACAAUUAUUAUGUUCAUGAAAGCUGAUAGGUGGGUGGACCUCUCCCUGUGAAGGCGACCCAUUUGCUAUAGUGAUAAGAAUAAACAAAUAUCCAUUGGCCUAUGGAUAUGAGGCAAGUUUACAUUUUGAUCCCCAAUCAUUGUAUGAAAUCAUCCUGGUUUAUACAAUCCUUGCAAAAACCCUAUAUCCAGCAACAACUUACAUUCUGGAAGAGUUUUUUCAAUGGAUCACAAGGGUUAUGUUCUCUUCAUCCUAAUAUAUGUUCUUAUAUUAUUAUUAAGCUCGUAUGUUAGAUUAGAUUUUGAUUUUAAUCUUUCGAUUUCGUAUAUCAUUCACGUAUAAUGUAUUUACGAAUACCCUUAAAAUAGCAUAUCAACGUGAAUAAUAGGCCUAAAUUAAAACCGUAAUCUAACAUCAAGGUUUUAAAAAGAUGAAAAUUUUAUAUAUUUUGUUAUUGACAAGCUUGGAGGAUGAUAUGAUACCCUAUAUUUUGAAACUUGAGAUGACGAUGCCGUACAAAACUGAAUUGGUAUGCUACAUCAGCGUGAUGUACACCGUACAAGGUACAACAAAAACCGUCUUGGAUUCAUAUGAAGAAAUAUGAAUUAUGGAAAUGUUGUCGGCCUAGUUUCAAUCAAAAGAAUAAAAAGGGUAGCCGUUCGAUUCCGUAAUUGCAUCCAAUCUCAUCCGUCGAAAAUGGUAUAAAGCUAAAUACUAGCUAGAAACAAAACAUAAUUAGUUUAUUAUUCAUUUUAAUUUGUAACGCCGAAGACGAAGGAUAAAUAGAAGAAGAGUCCAGAGCCCGCUGCAGGGGACCCCACAGCAGCACGUGAUGCCCAUGCCUGCCCCACCCGAUGGCGCCAAAACGCAUAAAAGAGGCCCAACCCGCUCACGUGUCCCUCUCCCUCCUCCAUAUCAAAUCAUUUUCCCAUCACUAUCGAAAAGACAAAAUUGCCCCUGAGGCGACAACUUACUAUUAUACGACGAUAAGUCGUGGUAGACGACGACGUGUGGGCAGGCCGGCCCCAUGCUGAAGAGGACAUAUGCGUACUAUUCCGAGAGACAGAGAGAGAGAGAGAGAGAGAGAGGAAUUGGAUCCAUGAUGCUGAGUCAUCUGAUUCUGAUGUCCUCUGAGAAUUCGGAUAAGCUCGACACCUGUUCUUGCUCAUUGGCUCUCCUUCUCUUCGUCUCUCUUUUAUAUCGUUGUUUCUCGCGAUAACUCUAGCCCCGUUUUAUCUAUAAUUUGCAGAAUUAUUGUAAGCAAACUUUCUUUGUCAGUCUCCUAUAAUUAAACAUAUCUCAUUACUACUUUUCUCCUAGUCUUUGUUUUGAGCUACUUUAGUCUAAUUGAAGUUGGAAAUAACAGAUUUGUAAUAUCUCGUCAACAUCAAAGAAAGGGAAAUAUAACAACUAGAAAAUUAAAUAAUUUGUAUCAAUUUUUUGGUCAAUAGAAAGUAGAAUUUUAGAGUUAAAAGAUGUGGUUUUGUUAGAAUGGGAAAUACUAUUAGAUCAAUAAUUAAUUAUUAGUUUUAUUUAUAUAUAAAGUAAAAAACAGAUAAUGAUAAAACAUUCAAAAUACCAAAAAAUACUUUUGAUUAAUGCAAACAUUAAUAAUUAAAAUUAUUAAUUAAAUUAGAAUAAUAUGGUAAAUUCACACUUUUUUAUACUAAAAAAUUAAAAUUAAAAAAAAUCAAAUAAUUGAUCCUUUUUUUAUGGAACACAAUUACCUAUUUUUUUUUAAUUCUAAAAUAAAUUUGAUUUUUUUAAAAAAAGAACCUCUCAUAAACGAGGAAACGUGUGGGAAAAAGUUGAUAUAUAAUUGAGUCAUCACAUUUUAAAACUAAAGGUUAAGAUCAAAUUUAUUUAUCUUGAUUUAAUGAUUCAAUCAUUCACUUAUUUUCUAUUUUAUCAAUUAGAAAUGGAGUCAAAUCAAACUUAAAGAAAAUGUUGAAAAAGUGAAAAGAGACAAAUUCACUGACGUAAUUCAAUUUUGAGUAAAUUCAUUAUCUUAUAAAAGAAAAAACACAUUAUCUACUUACACAAUCAAAUUCUCGAGAAAUUGAGGAGAAAAUCAAAUUGCGGAGUUUGGACACAAUAAAACAUCAAAAUUAUCGAUACCUCCAAUCCAAAGAAUUGAGAAAACGCCAAAAGAAGCUGGGCCUCCACGCCCAGCCAGUCACCACUUAUCUAUCAAAACCAUUUCCGCUCUCUGAAAAACCAGUGGUUUUUCAGCAAACCCGGAUUCAUUUCCUUCCAUCUUUCCCUAUAAAUUAACGCCAUUGUCCCCUUAACUCACUCUUACGGACUUCACAAACACCAAAAACAACAGCAAAAGCAAUUACAACCCUUAAUUUCAAUUUCAGUUCCAGAGUUUCAGAGUCUAGCAAUCGAAGAUGAACCAUUUGAACAGAGUUUGGAUGGCGGCGAGCGUGGUCGUGGUGCAGGGCCCUGCCGACCAGGGGCCUAAGUGGACAUCCGGUCUUAAAUCCUUCCAGCUAAGCAGGAGGAGAUGCUUGGGUGGUGCCGGGGACGCUUCGGAUCUCCGCCCAUUGUCCGGCGCAGUCGGGUCGGGUUUCUCCCAAGUUUGUGAGGAGAGACGGAACCAGGCCGACGAGUCUAUCCAAAAAGUCAUGUACUUGAACUGCUGGGGUCAGGGCUGAGGUCGGCGGCGAUUGGAAUUUUCCGGCGCAGAAUGAUUGGAGUUUUUAACUCGGGAGUUGCCGUUUACUCUCGGAGAGGUGUGGUUGGGUUAAAUUGAAACGGGUAACUCCACGAUUGAGUUGACGCGGAUGGAAUCUUUCUUUGUAAAUUGUACAGAAAAUCUUGAAUUGUGGAGAUUUAGAGGAAAACCAUGAAUAAUAGAUGGGACCUUUUAUUUUCAUCUCUUUCUUUUUAUUUUUAUAUUUAAAUUUCAUGAAAGGAACUUUCAAUUGAUCAACAAAAAAAAUUUACAAAACCCAAGUUCAUGUUACAAAUUAAAAUUUACAUAACUGAAUAAAAUGAAUUGACUAAUAUUAAUUGGUGUUUAAUUUAGUUGUGCAAUUAGGUGGUAAAAGUUUUCACAACAUGUAUAAAUGUUGUUGAUUAACCAGAGUUUUCCAUUUAUUAUAUUGUAAAAUAAUAGUCG
rnacentral:lncRNA from 1 species